UGAAGGCCUCUAAUAUCCUGGGUUUCAGGUUAUGACUCCAGUGUGAAGGCCUCUGAUAUCCUGGGUUUCCUGGUGCCAAGUUGGCUGGAUUAAGAUGAAAGUAUUGGCGUGAGGUGAAUGCAUUCUGCUGUUUGCUCGUAGAAAUAGCCUAGUGAUAAUUAUGAGAAAUUUCUAGCUUUCAAAGAUGAAUUAUGCAUCUGCGUGUGCUGUGAAGCUUUUAAGCACUGAACCUGGUCAGCUCGAUGUUGGAUACUUCCAUUGUAAUGUUUAGAAUCUUUUGUUUUCACUUCCAUGUUUUCAACCGGAACGCAGCUGUAGCAUGCUCCAGGCAUCCAAACUGGCAGCAUGUUUACGAGUCGCUGGAUCACAAUGAUAGGUGUCGAGGACUUAGGAUAGAGUUUGCUAUGCCAUCCCCAGCCCUGUUCCAAAAGGCAACUUUUGCCGCUCCCCUUCCCCCUCACCCAAGGGUGUGUGCUUUCCGUUUGCCACAUGCCCACACCCAUCCGCGCUGCCCCUCUUCCCCAUCCGUUUAACCCCCCUUGCAUCAACCUGCCCCUCUUCCCCAUCCGUUUAACCCCCCUUGCAUCAACCUGCCCCUCUUCCCCAUCCGUUUAACCCCCCUUGCAUCAACAUAGGGUUCCAGACAGGAAACUUGGAUAGUUCACUGUUUUCCAACCAAAUUCCGUGUAUAUAGCGAGGAGAUCUUUCUAAAAACUUCAACUUACAUGUACCUAUACAUAGAUUCAGAAUAUAUAUAUAGGAUGUAGGCUCUAGCUGUAAGAAAUAGUUGCCACUUCUACACCAAAAGAGUCCAGACCACCACAUCAUAUUGCACUGACGCCAACAAAAGCAGCUACUUAAUUCCUUAAAAUACAUGCAACAAGAAAUUAUCCCAAACCAGAGGCAUCACCCAAACAACAUGAAUGACGAUCCAUGGGUGGGAGGGGUGGGGGUGCUCUGCUUUGAGCAACAUCAGAAACAGAGCGCCAUUGCACAACAGUACUCCAGCAAAAACAACUUGUUGUAGGAGAACACCCUGACCACGCCACAACUCGUCGUUCGCAGCAGGCACCUCCUGUGGUCGGGUUUUGGAGGUAAUCUGCAGGACUACGAGCAUCAAGUUAGUUAUAUUUUAAAACAAUGUAGUAUCAGGUUAGUUCGCCUAGUGAACGGUUACGACAGUGACAAGAGUAGUGGUCUUAUUUACAAAGAAAAGGCACAUCCAUUUAGUGAUAAACCUUCUGUAAAUUAUGCGCAACACCUAAGGCACCAAAGACUAAGUACGUGUUUACCUUAUCUCCCUCCAAGAUAUGCCUCCUUAACUCCGUGAAGGCUUGCAGCCACUUCAUGCAUGUUGGGGCGCUCACUCGGGGACAACUUGGUGCAGCAAAGUCCAACGUUUAGCACCGAGACUAAACAGUCCAAAUCUUUUUCCUUCGUGGCUACUGGACGAUCUUGUAGCAAGUCAGAGUCAACAAUCUGUGAUAUCCCAGCAGGAAAAUUCAUCUGAACAAAGUUUGUGAUGCUCAGUCCAUCCUUGAACAUAUCUUCUGUCGGUCUCUUCCUCAAAAAUGUUUCGAACAGAAUAAUCCCAUAGCUAUAAACGUCCCCAGCAACUGAAACUUCACGACCAGUUGCCCACUCUGUAACAACACGUACGACGAUAGUUUAGUCAAAAUAUUAACAUAAGCAUCACAAAUAAGGAGUCAUUUUCAAGUUAUGCUGUACCAUAUAUGGCACAACAUGAAAACGAACAACAGACAUCACCUGGAGCGACAUAUCCGAUCGUUCCUUUUAUUACAGUCGAAGAAGCAGAGUUUGAGUCACCGAAAUAUGACUGUGUCGGACCAGCUUUGAACCUCGCAAGGCCAAAAUCUCCAACAUGAGCUGUCAUAUUAUCAUCCAAAAGAAUGUUGCUAGGCUUCAAAUCACAAUGAACAAUAACUCCUUGGGUGUCAUGGUGGAGGUACUCCAGUGCAUCUGCUACAUCCACCACAAUGCUCAGCCUUUGAGCUAGUGUAAUGCGCUCUGAAUUUGAAGUGUUUUCAUCACCCAAAGCUGAGUACAGUAGUGCGUGCAAGUCACCCUUUGGCAUGAAUUCAUAUACUAGGGCUUUGAAAUCAUUCCCUUUAGAAUCGAUACUCGAGCAAGCAGUUAGGAUAGGAACUAGAUUCCGGUGCCGCACAUUUCUCAAAGCAUUGCAUUCCGCAAUGAAGCUCUUUUGUGCUCCUCUUGUCUCUAGGGUGAAAACUUUAACAGCAACAAUAGUUCCAUCUUGCAACAGUCUACCUUUGUACACAGAACUGUAUCCUCCUCUGCCAAUCAAGUUGGAUGUGGAGAAGCCAUCAGUUGCUCUGUCAAGAUCGUGGCAAGAAACCCUGGGAAACUUUCGACCAAAAGAAGGGAGAGACAUGUAAAUAUUCUUCCGUUUUCUCCUCCUGAAUAGCAAGACAGAUAUGACCACAGCAAGUGACACCAUGCUGGCUAAUGGGAUCACUACUUUGAGCACUGUUGAUGUCACGUGCUUAGUUGAAUUUGAAGGUAUGACAGGGCAGGCCAGUAGGUGUAGCUUCGCUGCACCACCACAAAGCCCCUUGUUCCCAUCUACCCAUAAAGCAGUCACAUUCUUGAAUAUGCCAAUUUCUGGGACUUCGCCUUCGAGACGGUUGAAUGACAAAUCUAGUUGUUCAAGAUACAUCAGGCUGCCAAUAGACUUCGGUAUGGAUGCUGAUAAGCGGUUGUGAGACACAUUGAGUACUUUCAAGUUUCUGAUGCUGCCUAGUGACGCUGGAAUGCUUCCACUAAGAAAAUUCUGAUCCAACUCAAUGUAUUCCAUACUGUCACAGUUACCCAGUGUGUCAGGGAUGGCACUGGACAGGUUAUUAGAUGAAAGAUACAAGUACUGUAGUUGCUUGGCACGGCCUACUUCGGUGGGAAGUGGUCCGCCUAGGCUAUUUGAAGAUAGCGCAAUUUCUCUAAUUGUAGGAAUGCUGAAUAUCUCCUUUGGAAUGCUACCAUCAAGAAUGUUAUUGGAAAGCUUCAAUGCUUCAAGGGUUUUGAGGUCUCCCAAACUCGGGGGUAUAUGCCCAUACAACUGGUUAGAAUCCAAAACGAGUUCCCCCAGUAGAGAUAAAUUAGAGAGGGAAGAUGGAAUAUAUCCUGUAAAAGCGUUGUUCCUUAAUAUGAUAGCCCGCAAGCUCUCUAGAGUUCCUAGCCAUCCCGGAAUGACACCGGUAAACUGGUUUUCAUCCAAUGCCAAAAACUCCAGGCUGUGAAGGUUAGCUAUACCGGCAGGGAAACCCCCUGAUAGUCUGUUCCUUCCGAAGAAGAACAUUUCGAGUUUGCCAGAAAGGUUGGCAAAUGUAUCUGAUAACCGUCCUUCAAGACGAUUCCCACGCAGCGACAAUUUCUGUAGCUCAGUGCAAUUGCUUAGACUAUUCAUAAACUCCCAGUCUUGCUUGUCACGUGCUUGUAACUGAUUGUAUUCAAGAUUCAACCAGGAGAGCUCUUUAAGUUUGCCAAUAGAACUAGGCACCACCCCAGUGAAAUUAUUACUCGACAAAUCAACCAAGGAUAGCUUAGAAGCAUUCACCAGCGAAUUUGGGAUAGGCCCAUCAAACAAGUUGUUAAAUAAACCAAACUUUUGAAGAUUGGGUGAUGAACUACCAAGGUUGGAUGGCAGCUGGCCACUUAGAUAGUUGGAGGCAAGGCUUAGUACAACAAGAGAAGACACAUUGAGGAUGGCUGGUUGGAACCUUCCUGAUAGCUUAUUUCCCCAGGCGAAAAAGAACUGCAGCAUGGGCAUAUUUCCAAUUUCACUUGGGAUCUCGCCACUGAUCCGAUUUGACGAGAUAUCAAGUCGAGUCAGUGUUGUGAUGUUAAAAAGUGAAACGGGAAUUUUGCCGGUAAGAUUGUUAUAUGAAAUCAGCAGGCUUUGAAGGUGAGGAGGAAAAUUGGCAUGUGUAGGGAUUUGUCCAACUAGGUGAUUGCGAUCCAGCCAUAGCAUCUGCAGACUAGAACAAUUUGCGAAGUCUGGUAUCUCACCCUCGAGUGUGUUAUUACUCAAGUAGAGAUUCUGGAGGUGCUGCAGGUGACCAAGGGACCCAGGGAUUUGUCCAAUGAACAGAUUGCCUGGUAGGGAUAGAUUUCUUAGAAAUGUAAGAUUUCCGAGUGAAAGAGAGAUGCGCCCUUGUAAGCCUCGACCACUGAGGUCGAGGGAAAUGACGCGAUGUCGAUUCUUAGGCCUACACGAGACACCUUCCCAGUUACAGAAGUCCAUGCUGUCAUUCCAGGACAUCAGAGCUUGCUGGGGAUCAAGACUGAUUGCCUCCUUGAAUUCAAGCAGUGAUAACCGAUCUGUCGCAUUUCCAUGUGAGGAGCAGACGAUGACAUGGGUACUGCAAGCCACAAGUGCCAAGAGAAACUGUCCAACUGCAAUAACCAUCAUGGCUGGAUUUCUUUGUCGAAUUUAGAGCUUCAUUAUAUGCAUAAAUAAUACAAGCCGGCAAAAAAUUAGAUAGGCAACAAGUGUUGGCAAAUAUAAUGGAAUUGUUGGUGAGUGAAGUACCUGAAAGACUGCCCUGCACUAUCAGGAGCCAACACUUGUUCUCUGUUCCAUCAGCAAGAUUAAGCACAAGUCAAAACUAGAGACACUGAAUGUUGAAUAUUACUAUAACUGUGCACUUUACUAAUUGAAUUGCCAUUCAGAUAUUGUGUAGGACAUAAACUUUCUUCGAAGAGCUGACCUCUUAUUUAUACUACUUGUAUGGUAAGCUUUUUUAUGUAUCUAUCAGGAAAACAUGUCUGUAUCAACUAGCAAGCAGCGUGAUAUAUAAUCAUCACCAAACACACAGGCUAAUGCGCAUAAAAUCGUGUUUCAUGCUGAUCAGAAACUCGUGCUUUCUCGAUCUAGAAAAGAAGUUAUAAACGAACUCAAAGAUAAGCUAGACAUUUGUGCCCUUCAAGUUCUUGUUGGCCAUUGCCCACCACUUAUUGGACAUUUGGAAAAUGAAGAGAGUGAUCUGAAGUUAUACAGUAUGCAGCAAGUCUGCAAGAGAUAGAAACACUGAAACUCCACCCAGAAAAGCCAACUUUAUAUGCUUCAGCAAAUAGUAGAUGUAACUUACCAUGCUUUUGCACCGCCUCGUGGAGAGAGCCUGCGUACUUCUGUUGGAGAGCGGCGAUAGGCCUAUAGAAGUUCUUUACUAGCUGCUUAGAGCCAUACACGCUUCAUUUAUAUAGGCGAACCAAGUACUCCCUCCGUCUGGAGAUACAUCCAUUUUUAUACAUUUCUCCGACAAGUAUUUCCGGACGGAGGGAGUAUCUACCACCGACAAGCUAUAAUAUCAACUCCCGUAAAAAAAGAAAAGAAAAGCUAUAUAAUAUCAACGUGUUUUUUCUUUAUUAUUACUACAUCUAAACAAAACAGUGUUCCUCUUUCUUCAGUCCAAUCCCUAUCCAUAGAACCAGUCAAAGGCGGCUUCCCAUGGUGAUGGUGAUUAGUAGCAGUAUUGACCCAAUUUCAACAAAGAAAGUGAUUAAUAAUAAGGGAACCACUGGGCAUCAGACUAUUGAUGCAUAGCUUCCCGUCAGACCAGGUGGGCGUUGGAUGCAUCCUGAAACAGCGCCCGCACCCUCUUGGCAGUUGUCGAGACAAAUUUCCUUUAUUCACGUUUCCUUCCAUGUUUGAGGUCCCUAAAAUCACGUACGCCCACUAUUCCUGCCAGUUUCCCAAACAAACUUCCUCCAUUCUCGUUGCUUCCAUAUACGAGUUUAUUUUUUCUUUUGCGAAGUUGAGGUUUCGAUAAUCAUGUAUACGAAUUCAUGGGAUGCAUGGCUGUUGGAAAUAUGAGCAAUUUACUGAAUAAUUUUAUUAACAGAAAUACUAGAUAAAGCAUGACUAGUAUAGCAGUGAUAAAACAAGCCAUGCGAUUUGAAAAAGAGAAGGUAAAUAAUAUCUGCAUAUAUGAGCUAGAACCGAUCAUCUCUAGAACAGACAGUAGAUCAAGAUGCAUAUAUAAAGUAGAGCCUAACAUGUGUAAGGCAAACACUAGAAGAAGGAACUGUUGCAGGACUUCUAACAAGAAAGAUAAGAACACGUACUAGACAGCAGCCGGUGCAGAGGCACUGGACUUGGGGUUGGUGUCCUCCAUGUCGUCGAGGAGGUUGUCGACGUCGGGGAAGUAGUCGUCGUAGGGGAAGUAGUCGUCGGAGUCUGGGGCGUCCGUGACGAAGAAGUCAGUAGUCGCGCAGAGCGCUCCCCAAAAACCUUAUCACCUUUCUCCCGUACAAGACUCAAAAGGUGCGGUUCCGGAGGCCUACUGUCCCGACCUACGGUGCACGCCGCAAGCCGGGAUGAGGAAGAACGUAAUAGCAGUGCAGUGCUCAGGAACUUGUGGCGAGAGGAGGAAGAGAUUCUGGUGCGUCUCUCUGAGAGGAGCGACCUCCCUUUUAUAGGUGCAAGAGAAGGAGGCGAGAGGGUGCGCCGGGAGCUGAAGGGAACGCGGGAGACGAAACGAACAGGCAGCAGCCGAAGAGGUGCGCCGUUCGGAUUCAGUGUCCACUACAGAAAAAAUGUUUCAGCUUCCGAGUGACCUUUCGUAUACCCGUAGUGCGUGGCAAAAAUUUAGACAUCGGCUCGGCUCAUUCUCGCAACCCGUGUCGUGUCGUGUCGUGACGAGGCGUGGCGAGGCAGGCGGCGGAGGAGGAGGAGCGCGCGUGGAUGUCCCUCUUGUUCUCAUGCUCAUACAAGUGGGGAAAGAGCCUCCCUUAUAAGGAGGUCCAACUCCCACUCAACUAGCAAUGUGGGACUAAACAUUAGUAGUAUCCUUUGCCUUGCACAAAUGGGCUAAGUGGGCCUCUAGGAUUUAUUUAGGAAUUUCUGAAAUAGUUAUUGGGCUGUCCCAAAAUAGACUAAAUUCCAGCAAUCCCCCACCAGAUCCCAGAGGCACACAAAAUUUGCCUUUGGUUCCAAACACUGUUUUAUAUACCGGUACUGCAGUGGAGACUGUUAAGUUGAACUUCCACCUAGAACUCUAUGCUACACUAGUAAGCAACUUGAACAGUGGACUGAGCCUUGAACUGCAAGUUUUCUACGAAUCUAGCUUCACAUAAAGUCUUGACCGAUACGUGGCUACCGUGGGUCUUCCCCGCAGGUGGAGCUUAUGCGUCAUACUUCAAGACCUUUCAUGAGUUCACUAGAGAGAACCCUACUCUCAUAGAUUGCGACGUUUAACAAUCAGACUCAUAUAGGUGCGUUCUUCAAAAGAUGUUCUGCAGGACAACAUCUCUGCUUCAAAGAGCCACUUAGAACACAUUAAGAUAUACAUCAACCUGCCAUGCAGAUUAGGAGAGUAUUGCAUCUUCAUGGAGUGGUAUUUUUAACAAUAAGGAUACUCUCCUCCCAGUUGACCAACAACUUGUUGGAAAUAUGCCCUAGAGGCAAUAAUAAAAGGAUUAUUAUUAUAUUUCCUUGUUCAUGAUAAUUGUCUUUUAUUCAUGCUAUAAUUAUAUUAUCCGGAAAUCAUAAUACACGUGUGAAUACAUAGACCACAACAUGUCCCUAGUGAGCCUCUAGUUGACUGGCUCGUUAAUCAACAGAUAAGUCAUGGUUUCCUGACUAUGGACAUUGGAUGUCAUUGAUAACAAUAUCACAUAAUUAGGAGAAUGAUGUGAUGGACAAGACCCAAGGAUACCGACGAUCGAACCUCGGGCAAGUAACAUACCGAUUGACAAAGGGAAUUGUAUACGGGGUUGCUUGAAUCCUCGACAUUGUGGUUCAUCCGAUGAGAUCAUCGAGGAGCAUGUGGGAGCCAACAUGGGUAUCCAGAUCCCGUUGUUGUUUAUUGACCGGAGAGCCGUCUCGGUCAUGUCUACGUGUCUCCCGAACCCAUAGGGUCCACACACUUAAGGUUCAGUGACGCUAGGGUUGUAGAGAUAUUAGUAUGCAGCAAACCGAAAGUUGUUCGGAUUCCCGGAUGAGAUCCCGGACGUCACGAGGAGUUCCGGAAUGGUCCGGAGGUAAAGAAUUAUAUAUGGGAAGUCGAGUUUCGGCCAUCGGGAAAGUUUCGGGGUUCACCGGUAUUGUACCGGGACCACCGGAAGGGUCCCGGGGGUCCACCGGGUGGGGCCACAUAUCCCGGAGGGCCCCGUGGGCUGAAGUGGGGAGGGGAACCAGCCCUCGGUGGGCUGGUGCGCCCCCCUUGGGCCCCCCUGUGCUGCUGGAUCUUCAUCAACCUCUCCUCCCCCCUUGCUGGAUCAAGAAGGAGGAGAUGUCACGCUGACUGUACGUGUGUUGAACGCGGAUGUGCCGUCCGUUCGGCGCUAGGAUCUUCAGUGAUUUGGAUCACGACGAGUACGACUCCCUCAACCUCGUUCUCUUGAACGCUUCCGCUCGCGAUCUACAAGGGUAUGUAGAUGCACUCCCCUCUCUCGUUGCUAGAUGAACUCAUAGAUUGAUCUUGGUGAACAUAGGAAUUUUUUUAUUUUAUGCAACAUUCCCCAACAGUGGCAUCAUGAGCUAGGUCUAUGCGUAGUUCUCUUUGCACGAGUAGAACACAAAUCUGUUGUGGGAGUAGAUGUUGUCAGCUUUCUUGCCACUACUAGUCUUAUUUUGCUUCAGCGGUAUUGUGGGAUGAAGCGGCCCGGACCGACCUUACACGUACGCUUACGUGAGACAGGUUCCACCGACUGACAUGCACUAGUUGCAUAAGGUGGCUAGAGGAUGUAUGUCUCUCCCACUUUAGUUGGAGCGGAUUCGAUGAAAAGGGUCCUUAUGAAGGGUAAAUAUAAGUUGACAAAUCACGUUGUGGCUUUUCGUAGGUAAGAAAACGUUCUUGCUAGAACCCUAUUGCAGCCACGUAAAAGAUGCAACAAAAAUUAGAGGACGUCUAACUUGUUUUUGCAGCAAUUGCUUUGUGAUGUGAUAUGGCCAAAAGUUGUGAUGAAUGAUGAAUGAGAUAUUGUGAUGUAUGAGAUCAUGUUCUUGUAAUAGGAAUCACGACUUGCAUGUCGAUGAGUAUGACAACCGGCAGGAGCCAUAGGAGUUGUCUUAAUUAUUGUAUGACCUACGUGUCAAUGAUUUAAUGCCAUGUAAUUACUUUACUUUAUUGCUAAACCCUUAGCUAUAGUAGUAGAAGUAAUAGUUGGCGAGCAACUUCAUGGAGACACGAUGAUGGAGAUCAUGGUGUCAUGCCGGUGACGAAGAUGAUCAUGGAGCCCCGAAGAUGGAGAUCAAAGGAGCUAUAUGAUAUUGGCCAUAUCAUGCCACUACUAUUUUGAUUGCAUGUGAUGUUUAUCAUGUUUUUGCAUCUUGUUUACUUAGAACGACGGUAGUAAAUAAGAUGAUCCCUCAUAAUAAUUUCAAGAAAGUGUUCCCCCUAACUGUGCGCUGUUGCGACAGUUCGUUGUUUCGAAGCACCACAUGAUGAUCGGGUGUGAUAGAUUCUAACAUUCACAUACAAUGGGUGUAAGACAGAUUUACACAUGCAAAACACUUAGGUUAACUUGACGAGCCUAGCAUGUACAGACAUGGCCUCGGAACACAAGAGACCGAAAGGUCGAACAUGAGUCGUAUGAAAGAUACGAUCAACAUGGAGAUGUUCACCGAUGAUGACUAGUCCGUCUCACGUGAUGAUCGGACAUGUCCUAGUCGACUUAGAUCAUGUAACACUUAGAUGACUAGAGGGAUGUCUAAUCUGAGUGGGAGUUCAUUAAAUAAUUUGAUUAGAUGAACUUAAUUAUCAUGAACUUAGUAUAAAAUCUUUGCAAAAAAUGUCUUGUAGAUCAAAUGGCCAACGCUCAUGUCAACAUGAACUUCAACGCGUUCCUAGAGAAAACCAAGCUGAAAGAUGAUGGCAGCAACUAUACGGACUGGGUCCGGAACCUGAGGAUCAUCCUCAUAGCUGCCAAGAAAGCAUAUGUCCUAGAAGCACCGCUAGGUGACCCACCUGCUCUCCCAGCACUGCAAGGCGAUUUGAACGUUUGGCAGACACGUGCUGAUGAUUACUCCCUCGUUCAGUACGGCAUGCUUUACAGCUUAGAACCGGGGCUCCAAAAGCGUUUUGAGCAACACGGAGCAUAUGAGAUGUUCGAGGAGCUGAAAAUGGUUUUCCAAGCUCACGCCCGGGUCGAGAGAUAUGAAGUCUCCGACAAGUUCUAUAGUUGUAAGAUGGAGGAAAAUAGUUCUGUCAGUGAGCACAUACUCAAAAUGUCUGGGUUGCACAACCGCGUGUCCCAGCUGGACAUUAACCUCCCGGAUGAGGCGGUCAUUGACAGAAUCCUUCAGUCGCUCCCACAGAGCUACAAGAGCUUUGUGAUGAACUACAAUAUGUAGGGGAUGGUGAAAAAUAUUCCUGAAGUAUUUUCAAUGCUGAAGUCAGCAGAGGUAGAAAUCAGAAAGGAACAUCAAGUGUUGAUGGUCAAUAAAACCACCAAGUUCAAGAAAGGCAAGGGUAAGAAGAACUUCAAGAAGGACGGCAAGGAUGUUGCCGCGCCCGGUAAGCCAGUUGCCGGGAAGAAGUCAAAGAGUGGACCCAAGCCUGAAACUGAGUGCUUUUAUUGCAAAGGGAAGGGUCACUGGAAGCGGAACUGCCCCAAAUACUUAGGGGACAAGAAGGCCGGCAACACUAAAGGUAUAUGUGAUAUACAUGUAAUUGAUGUGUACCUUACCAGUGCUCGUAGUAGCUCCUGGGUAUUUGAUACCGGUGCCGUUGCUCAUAUUUAUAACUCAAAGCAGGAGCUGCGGAAUAAGCGGAGACUGGCGAAGGACAAGGUGAGGAUGCGCGUCGGGAAUGGUUCCAAGGUCGAUAUGAUUGCCAUCGGCACGCUACCUCUGCAUUUACCUACGGGAUUAGUUUUAAACCUCAAUAAUUGUUAUUUAGUGCCAAGUUUGAGCAUGAACAUUGUAUCUGGAUCUCGUUUAAUAUGAGAUGGCUACUCAUUUAAAUCCGAGAAUAAUGGUUGUUCUAUUUAUAUGAGAGAUAUGUUUUAUGGUCAUGCCCCGAUGGUCAAUGGUUUAUUCUUAAUGAAUCUCGAACGUAAUGUUACACAUAUUCAUAGUGUGAAUACCAAAAGAUGUAAAGUUGAUAACGAUAGUCCCACAUACUUGUGGCACUGCCGCCUUGGUCACAUUGGUGUCAAGCGCAUGAAGAAGCUCCAUGCCGAUGGACUUUUAGAGUCUCUCGAUUAUGAAUCAUUUGACACAUGUGAACCAUGCCUCAUGGGCAAAAUGACCAAGACUCCGUUCUCCGGAACAAUGGAGCGAGCAACCAACUUAUUGGAAAUCAUACAUACCGAUGUGUGCGGUCCAAUGAGCGUGAGGCUCGCGGAGGAUAUCGUUAUGUUCUCACACUCACUGAUGACUUGAGUAGAUAUGGGUAUGUCUACUUGAUGAAACACAAGUCUGAGACCUUUGAAAAGUUCAAGGAAUUUCAGAAUGAGGUAGAGAAUCAACGUGACCAAAAGAUAAAGUUCUUACGAUCAGAUCGUGGAGGAGAAUAUUUAAGUCAUGAAUUUGGUACGCACUUAAGGAAAUGUGGAAUCGUUUCACAGCUCAUGCCGCCUGGAACACCUCAGCGUAACAGUGUGUCCGAACAUCGUAAUCGCACUCUAUUGGAUAUGGUGCGAUCUAUGAUGUCUCUUACCGAUUUACCGCUAUCAUUUUGGGAAUACGCUCUAGAGACAGCUACAUUCACUUUAAAUAGGGCUCCGUCUAAAUCCGUUGAGACGACACCGUAUGAAUUAUGGUUUGGGAAGAAACCUAAGCUGUCGUUUCUAAAAGUUUAGGGAUGCGAUGCUUAUGUCAAGAAACUUCAACCUGAAAAGCUUGAACCCAAGUCGGAAAAAUGCGUCUUCAUAGGAUACCCUAAGGAAACCAUUGGGUAUACCUUCUACCUUAGAUCCGAAGGCAAGAUCUUUGUUGCCAAGAACGGAUCCUUUCUGGAAAAAGAGUUUCUCUCGAAAGAAGUAAGUGGGAGGAAAGUGGAACUCGAUGAAGUACUACCUCUUGAACCGGAAAGUAGUGCAGCUCAGGAAAAUGUUCCUGUGGUGCCUACACCGACUGGAGAGGAAAUUAAUGAUGAUGAUCAAGGUACUUCGGAUCAAGUUGCUACUGAACUUCGUAGGUCCACAAGGACACGUUCCACACCAGAGUGGUAUGGCAACCCUGUCCUGGAAAUCAUGUUGUUAGACAACGGUGAACCUUCGAACUAUGAAGAAGCAAUGGCGAGCCCAGAUUCCAACAAAUGGCUUGAAGCCAUGCAAUCCGAGAUAGGAUCCAUGUAUGAAAACGAAGUAUGGACUUUGACAGACUUGCCCGAUGAUCGGCGAGCGAUAGAAAACAAAUGGAUCUUUAAGAAGAAGACGGACGCGGAUGGUAAUGUUACCAUCUAUAAAGCUCGACUUGUCACUAAGGGUUAUCGACAAGUUCAAGGGGUUGACUACGGUGAGACAUUCUCUCCCGUAGCAAAGCUAAAGUCUGUCCGAAUCAUGUUAGCAAUUGCCGCAUACUAUGAUUAUGAGAUAUGGCAGAUGGACGUCAAAACGGCAUUCCUUAAUGGACAUCUUAAGGAAGAACUGUAUAUGAUGCAGCCGGAAGGUUUUGUCGAUCCUAUGAAUGCUAACAAGGUGUGCAAGCUCCAGCGAUCCAUUUAUGGGCUGGUGCAAGCAUCGAGUUGGAACAUUCGCUUUGAUGAGAUGAUCAAAGCGUUUGGGUUUAUGCAGACUUAUGGAGAAGCCCGCGUUUACAAGAAAGUGAGUGGGAGCUCUGUAGCAUUUCUCAUGUUAUAUGUAGAUGACAUACUUUUGAUGGGAAAUGAUAUAGAACUAUUGGACAGCAUUAAGGCCUACUUGAAUAAGUGUUUUUCAAUGAAGGACCUUGGAGAAGCUACUUACAUAUUAGGCAUCAAGAUCUAUAGGGAUAGAUCGAGACGCCUCAAAGGUCUUUCACAAAGAACAUACCUUGAUAAGAUAUUGAAGAAGUUCAAUAUGGAUCAGUCCAAGAAAGGGUUCUUGCCUAUAUUGCAAGGUGUGAGAUUGAGCUCGGCUCAAUGCCCGACCACGGCAGAAGAUAAAGAAGAGAUGAGUGUCAUCCCCUAUGCCUCAGCCAUAGGAUCUAUUAUGUAUGCCAUGCUGUGUACCAGACCUGAUGUAAACCUUGCCGUAAGUUUGGUAGGAAGGUACCAAAGUAAUCCCGGCAAAGAACACUGGACAACGGUCAAGAAUAUCCUGAAGUACCUGAAAAGGACAAAGGACAUGUUUCUCAUCUAUGGAGGUGACGAAGAGCUCGUCGUAAAGGGUUACGUCGACGCUAGCUUCGACACAGAUCUGGAUGACUCUAAGUCACAAACCGGAUACGUGUAUAUGUUGAAUCGUGGAGCAGUAAGCUGGUGCAGUUGCAAGCAGAGCGUCGUGGCGGGAUCUACAUGUGAAGCGGAGUACAUGGCAGCCUCGGAGGCAGCGCAUGAAGCAAUAUGGAUGAAGGAGUUCAUCACCGACCUAGGAGUCAUACCCCAUGCGUCGGGGCCGAUCACUCUCUUCUGUGACAACACUGGAGCUAUUGCCCUUUUUGCCAAGGAGCCCAGGUUUCACAAGAAGACCAGGCACAUCAAGCAUCGUUUCAACUCCAUCCGUGAAAAUGUUCAAGAUGGAGACAUAGAUAUUUGCAAAGUACAUAUGGAUCUGAAUGUCGCGGAUCCGUUGACUAAACCUCUUCCGCGAGCAAAACAUGAUCAACACCAGAACUCUAUGGGUGUUCGAUUCAUCACAAUGUAACUAGAUUAUUGAUUCUAGUGCAAGUGGGAGACUGUUGGAAAUAUGCCCUAGAGGCAAUAAUAAAAGGAUUAUUAUUAUAUUUCCUUGUUCAUGAUAAUUGUCUUCUAUUCAUGCUAUAAUUGUAUUAUCCGGAAAUCGUAAUACAUGUGUGAAUACAUAAAACACAACAUGUCCCUAGUGAGCCUCUAGUUGACUGGCUCGUUAAUCAACAGAUAAGUCAUGGUUUCCUGACUAUGGACAUUGGAUGUCAUUGAUAACAAUAUCACAUAAUUAGGAGAAUGAUGUGAUGGACAAGACCCAAUCCUAAGCAUAGCACAAGAUCGUGUAGUUCGUUUGCUAGAGCUUUUCCAAUGUCAAGUAUCUUUUCCUUAGACCAUGAGAUCGUGUAACUCCCGGAUACCGUAGGAGUGCUUUGGGUGUACCAAACGUCACAACGUAACUGGGUGACUAUAAAGGUAUACUACGGGUAUCUCCGAAAGUGUCUGUUGUGUUGACACGGAUCGAGACUGGGAUUUGUCACUCCGUAUGAUGGAGAGGUAUCUCUGGGCCCACUCGGUAAUGCAUCAUCAUAAUGAGCUCAAAGUGACCAAGUGUCUGGUCACGAGAUCAUGCAUUACGGUACGAGUAAAGUGACUUGCCGGUAACGAGAUUGAACGAGGUAUUGGGAUACCGACGAUCGAAUCUCGGGCAAGUAACAUACCGAUUGACAAAGGGAAUUGUAUACGGGUUUGCUUGAAUCCUCGACAUUGUGGUUCAUCCGAUGAGAUCAUCGAGGAGCAUGUGGGAGCCAACAUGGGUAUCCAGAUCCCGCUGUUGUUUAUUGACCGUAGAGCCGUCUCGGUCAUGUCUACGUGUCUCCCGAACCCGUAGGGUCUACACACUUAAGGUUCGGUGACGCUAGGGUUGUAGAGAUAUUAGUAUGCAGCAAACCGAAAGUUGUUCAGGGUCCCGGAUGAGAUCCCGGACAUCACGAGGAGUUCCGGAAUGGUAUGGAGGUAAAGAAUUAUAUAUGGGAAGUCGAGUUUCAGCCAUCGGGAAAGUUUUGGGGGUCACCGGUAUUGUACCGGGACCACCGGAAGGGUCCCGGGGGUCCAUCGGGUGGGGCCACCUAUCUUGGAGGGCCCCGUGGGCUGAAGUGGGGAGGGGAACCAGCCCCUAGUGGGCUGGUGCACCCCCCUUGGCCCCCCCUGCGCCUAGGGUUGGAAACCCUAGGGUGGGGGGGGGGCGCCUCCACUUGCCUUGGGGGGCAAGCCACCCCCCUUGGCCGCUGCCCCCCUUGGAGAUGGGAUCUCCUAGGGCCGGCGCCCCCCCAGGGGUCCCUAUAUAAAGAGGUGGGAGGGAGGGCAGCCGCACCCAUGCUCUUGGCGCCUCCCUUCCCCCUUGCUACACCUCUCCCUCCCGCGGACGCUUGGCGAAGCCCUGCCGGAAUCCCUGCUGCAUCCACCACCACGCCGUCGUGCUGCUGGAUCUUCAUCAACCUCUCCUUCCCCUUGCUGGAUCAAGAAGGAGGAGACGUCACGCUGACCAUACGUGUGUUGAACGCGGAGGUGCCGUCCGUUCGGCGCUAGGAUCUCCGGUGAUUUGGAUCACGACGAGUACGACUCCCUCAACCUCAUUCUCUUGAACGCUUCCGCUCGCGAUCUACAAGGGUAUGUAGACGCACUCCCCUCUCUCACUGCUAGAUGAACUCAUAGAUUGAUCUUGGUGAAUGUAGGAUUUUUUAUUUAUUUUAUGCAACGUUCCCCAACACAGCUUGUCUUCCACAUCUAAUUCACGGGAUCUCCGAUCACAAAGAAUAGGUUACCACUGUGAACAAUUCAUAUUGUGGGUCUCAUACCCAUCUCCCUCGAUACAUUAUCUAUCACAUUACUUGAUAGACCCUUAGUAAAAGGAUCUGCUAGAUUUUUAGACGUUUGGAUAUAAUCCAAUGCAAUAACUCCGGAGUUUUUCAUUUUUCUGACAGACUUUAACCUUCUCUGAACGUGUCUUGAUGACUUCAUGUUAUCCUUUGAGCUGCUCACUUUAGUGAUCACAGUUUGAUUGUCACAGUUCAUAAGGAUACCCGGUACAGGUUUCUCAACUACCGGCAAGUCAUUCAAGAGCCGACGAAGCCAAUCUGAUUCGACCGUAGUUGUAUCUAGUGCUGUGAGUUCUGCUUCCAUUGUUGACCUCGUUAAGAUGGUGUGCUUGUAAGACUUCCAAGAAACAGCGCCACCUCCAUGAGUGAAUACAUAACCGCUCGUGGCCUUUAUCUCAUCAGCAUCUGAGAUCCAAUUUGAGUCACUAUACCCUUCAAGCACCUUUGGAUGCCCAGUGCAGUGAAUUCCAUAAUUUGCAGUGCCUUUCAAAUAACGCAAAACUCUCUCUAUAGCUUUCCAAUGCACAUCUCCUGGUUUUGAGACAAACCGGCUCAGUUUGCUAACAGCAAAAGAGAUGUCAGGUCUUGUAGCACAAGUGUAACGCCCCAGAUGUAACUUUCCCCAUUUGUACUCCAACUCUUGCCGUUUCCGGUGUCAAGUUAUAUUUACUUCUCGGGUUCGGGUCCUUGUCUCCGUGUGUUGUUUUCGUUUUCAUGCAUCUCAUACCAUGUCAUCUCGUGCAUUGCAUUUGCAUACAUGUUCAUCUCAUGCAUUCGAGCAUUUUCCCCGUUGUCCGUUUUGCAAUCCGGCGUUCCGUUCUCCUCCGGUGGUCAUUUCUACCUUUCUUUCUUGUGUGGGGAUUAAACAUUUCCGGAUUGGACCUAGACUUGUCAAGUGGCCUUGGUUUACUACCGGUAGACCGCCUGUCAAGUUUCGUAUCAUUUGGACUUCGUUUGAUACUCCAACGGUUAACCGAGGGACCGAGAAGGCCUCGUGUGUGUUGUAGCCCAACACCCCCCCAAAUUUGGCCCAAAACCCACCAAACUCUGCUACAUGUCCUAGAGCGUUCGAUCACGAUCGUGUGGGCGAAAACCGCACCUCAUUUGGACUCUCCUAGCUCCCUCUAUGCCUAUAUAUAGACCCCCUCCUCCAAAUCCCGGAUCCCCUCGUCUCAAACCCUAGCUAAAAAAAAAACUCCCAGCCACCGACGGACAUGUCCGCCGCCUGACCGGACACGUCCGCCGGCGCCCCCGACCACUCGGUGCCGCCACGUGGCAGGACCACAUCGCCGNNNNNNNNNNNNNNNNNNNNNNNNNNNNNNNNNNNNNNNNNNNNNNNNNNNNNNNNNNNNNNNNNNNNNNNNNNNNNNNNNNNNNNNNNNNNNNNNNNNNNNNNNNNNNNNNNNNNNNNNNNNNNNNNNNNNNNCCACGCCGCGACUCCGCCGGGGCUCCUCAUCGCCGGCCGCGCCGCCCCAAGGUCCUCCCCGCGCCGCCGGCGUCCUUCUCCGGUCUCCUUCCUCCACGCCGGCCGCCGCCGCGGCCAUUUCCGGCGACUUCGGACCGGACUGCUACAGUAACCGCGCGCCGGUGAACAGUGUUUGCUACAGUGCGGCUGGAUCUAGAUCUAGGUUGACCUCUCUCCCCCGAAACCCUAAUUUUCGUGCUAUCUUUGACUGCUUGUAUCUCCGCAACCGUAUCUCCGUUUUGGGCGUAUGAUAUGUCAAAAUCUUCGUCUCGACAUGUACAUCAUUUCGUUCCAUUGCAUCAUUUGCAUUUGAGGUCAUCUUGAUACCCAAAAUGCUGUUAGAAGGAGGCUUCGUGAGUUAAAUUGCAGAUCCGUUAGUUCAUCAUGCACUUUUGUCAUUUUUGUCAUGUUUAAUUCGUGCAUGAUAUGCCUGUGCCCCUUUGGGAUGAAUUGUGAAGCAUUUUUUCUUCUUUCCAGAGGUGCCACCCAUGCAUUUUUAGGAUGUGUGUGUUGUCUUGUGCAAGCUUGCGAAGAGAGGUACCUGAGAUUGCAGAUUUCAGGGACUUAGUGAUUUUCACUAAGUCUGGGAUAUUUUAGUUCAUGAUGCUAUAUGUCCAGCUUGUUUCCUAGUGAUCCGUGCCUCUUUUGAGGAUGAUCAGUAAGGGAGUUUUGAUACUUAUGUUAUGCUCUAUCCAUCCAUGUCUUUGUUGGCAUAUGUGGAGUGCUCUAGGUUGACUCAAUCGAGCUCAACUUUUGCUUCGUUGUUAAUCUGGGCAGAUCGUCAACUUGUUUGCGAUUUUGCCGAUGCUACCGUUAGUGUUCCAUGCAUGCUAUGCCUUUGUUCUUGCCAUGUGUAGCUAGCACAUUGUGCCUUCUUGCUGGUUAUAUGCUUUCCUUGCCAUGACUUGCACCGUAGUGAGUGCAUCGAGCUCGUUUACAUGCCUUCGUGAGUUAUAUUUCAGCGUGUCUCAGUUUUCACUAAGUCUGAAAACUGAUUGUGUUCGAGCUAUGUUCGUGAGCUCGGUAGAGUAUUUUGUGAACCCUUUUGGCCCCAGGUCACUUUGGGUGUUUUAUUAAGCUUGUUGAGUAGCUCCAUGCCAUGUUCUUACUUGUCAUGUUCAGGUUUUGUAUCAUGUUGUUUUGCUGCUCCGAAGAGAGCAUCGUGAUCUGAAAUUUCAGACUAGUGUUAAUUUCACUAAGUCUGAAAUCUGUUUUGCAUUUGCGUUUUAGCCAUGCUUGUUUGAACCUCUUAAUGGAUGAAUUUGCCUAUGGCUCAGUGCUAGUGUUUUGUCAACCAUCUUGUGUACAUCACUGCCAUGUAUUUUGUUUUCAUGUUUGGUGGCUGUAGCAUGUUCAUUUCGUUGCAUUUAGAUGCCUACUUGCUGUAAAUCGCAUACCGGUGUCAUAUCUUAAAACGCUUGCCAUUUCCAAACCGUAGCUCCGAUUCCAAUGAUCUUUAUAUCGUUUUCAAGCGAUUUCAUCCCCUCUAUCCAGUGGCAAACUUGGUUUUCCAAGUUGAUGCCAGGUUCAUGCAUUUCCUGUCAUAUCUUGCAUUUUGCAUUCCGCAUCGCAUCCCGCAUAGCAUAUCGUCAUUUCAUCAUAUUGCUUGGUCUUGCCCGUGGUUGAUUGUAUCCUUGUUGCUUGUUUGUCUUGUUGGGUAGAGCCGGGAGACGAGUUCGCUACCGAGGAGCCCGUUGAGUUCGCUUGUGACCAGGCAAGAUGAUCAUACCCUCGAAAUCACUACUAUCUUUGCUAUGCUAGCUUGCUCGCUCUUUUGCUUUGCCACUGCUACGAUGCCUACCAUUUGCUUGUCAGCCUCCCAAUUGCAUGAUUGAACCUCUAACCCACCAUUGUCCUAGCAAACCGUUGAUUGGCUAUGUUACCGCUUUGCUCAGCCCUUCUUAUAGCGUUGUUAGUUGCAGGUGAAGAUUGGAGCCGUUCCUUGUUGGAACAUUCAUUUACUUGUUGGGAUAUCAUUAUAUUGCUAUGUUAUCUUAAUGCAUCUAUAUACUUGGUAAAGGGUGGAAGGCUCGGCCUCUCGCCUAGUGUUUUGUUCCACUCUUGCCGCCCUAGUUUUCCGUCAUAUCGGUGUUAUGUUCCCGGAUUGUGCGUCCCUUACGCGGUUGGGCUAUAAUGGGAACCCCUUGAUAGUUCGCCUUGAUUAAAGCUUUUCCAGCAAUGCCCAACAUUGGUUUUACCAUUUUCCACCUAGCCUCUUUUUCCCUUGGGUUUCCGGAGCCCGAGGGUCAUCUUAUUUUAACCCCUCCCGGGCCAGUGCUCCUCUGAGUGUUGGUCCGAACCAGGCAGCCUACGGGGCCACCUCGGGGAAACUUGAGGUUUGGUUUUACUCGUAGCUUGACCUAUCCGAGCGUGCCCUGAGAAAGAGAUAUGUGCAGCUCCUAUCGGGAUUUGUCGGCACAUUCGGGCGGUGUUGCUGGACUUGUUUUAACCUGUCGAAUCAUCUUGUUGUACCGAGAUACCGAGUCUGAUCGGUGUGUCUUGGGCGGAGGUCUAUUCCUUCGUUGACCGUGAGAGCUUGUUAUGGGCUAAGUUGGGACCCCCCUGCAGGGAUUGAUCUUUCGAAAGCCGUGCCCGCGGUUAUGGGCGGAUGGGAAUUUGUUAAUGUCCGGUUGUAGAUGACUUGAACUAAACUUAAUUAAAAUGAAUCAACCGUGUGUGUUACCGUGAUGGCCCCUUCUCGGCGGAGUCCGGGAAGUGGACACGGUGUUGGAGUUAUGCUUGCGCAGGAUGUUCCUUUAGCUUCUCGUUCGUGCUUCGCCUUCUCUUCUCGCUCUCUUUUGCGUAUAAUUUAGCCACCACAUAUGCUAGUCGCUUGCUGCAGCUCCACAUAUAUUUGCCUUAUCCAUUCCCAUGAGCUUAAAUAGUUUUGAUCGCGUGGGUGUGAGAUUGCUGAGUCCCUGUGGCUCACAGAUAUUACAACUCCAGAUGCAGGUCCAGGUGUUUCUGCUCCAGUUGACGAUUACGAGCUCAAGUGGGAGUUCGACGAGGACUCUCAGCGAUACUACGUAUCUUUUCCGGAUGAUCAGUAGUGGUGCCUAGUUGGGGUUAUCGAUUCAGGACCUUGUCGCAUGUUGGGUUCUUUUCUAUUUUGGCGCCGUAGUCGGGCCAUGAGUGUUUGUUUGAUGGAUGUUAUUUAUGUACUCUGAUGUGACGUGGCGAGUGUAAGCCAACUAUGUUAUCUCCCCCUUUUAUUAUAUAUUACAUGGGAUGUUGUAAUGAUUGCCUGACUUGCGACAUUGCUUUCAAUGCGGUUAUGCCUCUAAGUCGUGCCUCGACACGUGGGAGCUAUAGCCGCAUCGAGGGCGUUACAAGUUGGUAUCAGAGCCUUCCCCGACCUUAGGAGCCCCAUUGCUUGAUCGUUUUUAGCAGCCGAGUUGUGUCUAGAAAAAUGUUUUGAGUCCUUAGGAAUUAUAUAUCGGAGAGCUUAGGAAUUCUUUUUACUUCCCAGUCUCCUCAUCGCUCUGGUAAGGCAUCUUGGCGUAGAGUUUUGACUCUUCUCUUCUCAAAUUUCACUAAUUUUUUUUUUUAGGUUCACGCGAGUAUCUUGGUUUUGUUCCGAUGGUUUUGUGACGAGAACAUUGUUCUUGGUGCCUCCUGUCUUUAGGGGUUGUGGCAGUGUCCCGGGGAGUUGAGCUCCGAGGUGUUGUCGUCACAAUUUUAUCGUUGCAAUUCUGGCAUACUUGAGAUAUGUUCGCCGACAUCGAAAAUCUCUUUUAUGCAGUUCGUUGGUGAGAUAACCUCGACGCCACCCAGUACUGGGGCGGAAGUUCGGGAGUAUCGCCAUAACUUGUAUAACGGAUGCUUUUCGAAGGUUGAGGUAGAUGGUUUCCGAAGUUUUCUUGGUUAUGUGUUGAAGGAUGGAUACAGCUGGAUGUAGGAUUUGCUAGUUUGGGUGAGAUAUUGUGCUUCCCCUGUAUCCCCAACACCUGAUUGCAUAACCGGAAAGGUUCGGGAAUUUCAUAGGUGGGAAUUCUAGUAGCUCUAGUUCUUCUUCCACGGAUAUUGGUUUGAGAUUGGGAUUUCUUACCGAUUAUUCGUUCUUGAUCCGUACCUUGUUGAAUUAUUUCUCUUCCUUAAUUCUACGUGGCUUCUCAAUUUAUGGAUAUGUGACCAUUUCAAGAGGAAGGCAUUCGUUCAUUUUGUUCGGAUGUGAAGACUAUAUGUUGCAAUUUUCAUUCCGUUGGAUUCAGCUUCUAUAUUGUUGUCUAUCUAUGUGCUAAUGGUGGUCAACCUCUUCAGGAUGGCUCCUCCAACGCGCACGACUCCGAAUCCUGAUCCGCCUCCACCUCCGCCUCCUCCGGAAGCAUGGCAAGCUGUGAUGGCCGCUACUAAUGCAAAUACACAGUUGAUCAUGCAAAUCCUUCAAGAGCGCAAUCAAGGCAGUCAAGGGAAUCAAGGCCAUAAUCAGCACCACUUUGCUACUCUGAACCAGUUCCUCGCAAAUGGCCCAAAGACGUUCAGCGGUUGUGUUGAGGCUACCGAUGCUGACGAUUGGCUAGUGGAUCUGGGCAAGCAUUUUGAAUGUAGCAACGUCAGGCCUGAAGAUUUCGUCAAGUUCGCUUCUUUCCAGCUCAAAGAUCAGGCUGCAGAGUGGUUCCAGCAGUACAAGGAUUCCAGAGGUGGACGUGUUAUCACUUGGGACGAUUUCCGUCAAGAUUUCCGCGCUCAUCACAUCCCUCAAAGUGUGGUUGAGAGUAAGCGUCAGGAAUUCCGCAAUCUGAAGCAAGGCUCUUUGUCUGUCUAUGACUACAACAAGUUGUUCCAGAAGCUCGCCCGUUUUGCCAAGCAGGAUGUUCCUGAUGAGAAGAGCAUGAUCUAUCAGUUCAGGGGUGGUCUUCGUGAGGAAAUUCAGUUCGCUCUUGUCCUCUUUGAGCCGUUGAGAUACGAUGAGUUCUACAACAUGGCACUGAAGCAAGAGGCUGCUCAGAUGAGAUGUGAUGCUUCCAGGAAGCGUGCCAGAGAUGUUACUCCUUCUUCCUCUACUCAAGUGGUCAAGCAGCAGAAGUAUUGGCUUCCUCCUCCUCCGUUCCGUCAGCCGUAUCAGCAGAAGAGCAAAGGUGGCAGUGGUUUCUCCCACCCACCCAACCCAGGCUUUCAGAACAAGUCUUCGUCUCAAGCGCCAAGAUCGAGUGCUCCGUAUCACCGUCCGCUUUCAGAGGUCAUGUGCAACAAGUGCCAACAGAAGGGUCACUAUGCCAACAAGUGUACCAACCAGAGGCGUCUUCCUCCUCCUCCUCCUGUCAGAUCGGCAAGUACAGCUGUGGUGAAGCACAAUCCCAAGCACGCCAAGGUCAAUAUGCUGAAUGCAGCUCAGGCUGAGGAUUCUUCAGAUGUCAUUAUGGGUAACCUUCCUAUUAAUGAUAUUCCUGCAAAAGUUCUUUUUGACACGGGUGCAUCGCAUUGUUUCAUGUCAAAGCCAUUUUUUACCAAGCAUGAGUUCGUUUCUUCUCAUUUGGGUAAACAUAUGGAUAUCAUUUCUCCUGGCAAACGUUUGAGCGCAAGUCUGGAGGUGCCAGAUGUCGCUAUCACGAUGGGCGAUUUCAAGUUUCUUGCUUCUCCUAUGGUUCUUGGUAACUCGGAUAUCGAUCUUAUUCUCGGGAUGGACUGGCUCUCUAAGCAUAAAGCUCAGCUUGAUUGUGCAGCCAGGCAGAUUCAACUGACUCAUUCGUCUGAGGAUGUCAUUGUCUUUGCCGCUCGAGAUAAUUCCAUCCGGUUGUUUUCUCUCAAUGAGAAGGGUGAAUUGGAUGCUAUUUCGCAGAUUCCGGUUGUUUGUGAGUAUCAAGACGUCUUUCCAGAAGAGCUCCCAGGAAUGCCUCCGCACCGGCCAGUUGAAUUUGUUAUUGAACUUGAGCCCGGUACGGAACCUGUGUGCAAACGUCCUUACAAGCUCGGCCCCGAAGAGUUGAAGGAGUUGAAGAAACAACUCGAUGAGCAAGAAAGAUUGGGUCUCAUUCGGCCUAGUACUUCUCCGUGGGGUUGUGGUGUUCUUUUUGUGAAGAAGAAGGAUGGAUCGAGUCGACUUUGUGUUGAUUACCGUCCAGUAAACAAGAAGACCAUCAAGAACAAAUACCCACUUCCCAACAUCAAUGAGCUGUUCGAACAACUCAAGGGUGCUCAAGUAUUCUCCAAGCUUGAUCUCCAUAUGGGUUAUCAUCAGAUUCGUAUUCGUGAGCAAGAUAUUCCCAAGACGGCGUUCAGAACAAGUUUUGGUUCAUAUGAAUACACCGUCAUGUCUUUUGGCCUCGCCAACGCUCCUCCGACAUUCUCUCGCAUGAUGAACUUCAUCUUCAACCCCUACACCAAUGAAUUCGUUCUGGUCUAUCUCGACGACAUUCUGGUUUUCUCGAAGAACAAGAAAGAUCAUGCCAAGCACUUGCGUUUGGUUCUUGACAAGCUCAGAGAACAUCAGUUCUAUGCCAAGUUCUCCAAGUGUGAAUUUUGGCUCGAUGAGGUUCUUUAUCUUGGUCAUAUCAUCUCUGCCAAGGGCAUUUCCGUGAAUCCUGAGAAGGUGUCUGCAAUUGUGAAUUGGGAACCUCCUCAGAACGUGAAGCAACUCCGCAGUUUCCUCGGUCUCGCAAGCUAUUGCAGAAGAUUCGUUGAAAACUUUUCUAAGAUCGCCAAGCCUCUCUCAAAUCUUCUUCAGAAGCACGUCAAGUACGUUUGGUCUCCGGAGUGUGAUAUUGCUUUCAACUCUUUGAAAGAGAAAUUGAUCACUGCUCCAGUUCUGACUCCGCCUGAUGAAACCAAGCCGUACGAGGUCUUUUGUGAUGCCUCUCUCCAAGGUCUCGGUGCUGUACUGAUGCAAGAGAAGAAAGUUGUUGCUUAUACCUCUCGCCAGUUGAAACCUAAGGAGAAGAACUACCCCACUCAUGAUCUCGAGUUGGCGGCAGUUGUGCAUGCUUUGUUGACUUGGAGACAUCUUCUAUUGGGAAGGAAAGUGGACAUUUUCACUGAUCACAAGAGUCUCAAGUACAUCUUCACUCAGCCUAAUCUCAACCUCAGGCAGACUCGAUGGGUCGAAAUGAUUCAAGAGUACAAUCCGAGUAUCGAGUAUACUCCAGGCAAGGCUAAUGUGAUUGCUGACGCUUUGAGCAGAAAAGCAUAUUGCAACAGUCUGAUUCUCAAGCCUUAUCAACCCGAGCUUUGUGAAGCUUUCCGCAAGCUUAAUCUGCAAGUUGUUCCUCAAGGUUUCCUUGCCAACCUUCAAGUUUCUCCUACCUUGGAAGACCAGAUUCGCCAAGCCCAACUUCUUGAUGCUAUGGUGAAGAAGGUGAAGAUUGGUAUUGCAAAGAGUCAGUCCAAGUACAAGUGCUUCCGACUUGAUGACAAGGACACUCUAUUUUGGCGCCGUAGUCGGGCCAUGAGUGUUUGUUUGAUGGAUGUUAUUUAUGUACUCUGAUGUGACGUGGCGAGUGUAAGCCAACUAUGUUAUCUCCCCCUUUUAUUAUAUAUUACAUGGGAUGUUGUAAUGAUUGCCUGACUUGCGACAUUGCUUUCAAUGCGGUUAUGCCUCUAAGUCGUGCCUCGACACGUGGGAGCUAUAGCCGCAUCGAGGGCGUUACAACAAGCUAAGUACAUAAGCGAGCCAAUGAUCUGUGAAUGUUUCAAUUGGUCUCUAGCAAUUCUCCGAUUCUUUCAAAGCAACACACUAGCAUCAUAUGGUGUUGGAGAUGGCUUGCAGUCACUGUAGCCAAAGCGACUCAAGAUCUUUUCCACAUAGUGGGAUUGAAGCAAUGUAAUCCCACCAUCAUUGUCUCUCAACAACUUGAUGUUCAGAAUGACAUCAGCCACUCCUAAAUCCUUCAUCUCAAAACAGCGAGAUAGGAAAUCCUUGACCUCCUUAAUAACAUUCAGAUUUGUUCCGAAAAUCAGUAUGUCAUCAACAUACAAGAAAAGCAUAACUCCCUCGCCCCCACCAUGGCGAUAGUACACACAUUUGUCAGCUUCAUUCACAACAAAGCCUGUAGUUGUUAAAGUUCUUUCGAACUUCUCAUGCCACCGUUUGGGUGCUUGCUUGAGUCCAUACAAAGACUUCAGCAACUUGCACACUUUCCCUUCCUGACCAUCUAUUACAAACCCAUCUGGUUGUUCCAUAUAAUUUCCUCAUCCAACUCUCCAUUUAGGAAAGCAGUCUUAACAUCCAUUUGAUGAACGAGAAGACCAUGUGAGGCAGCUAGUGAAAGUAGAACUCGAAUAGUGGUCAGUCGAGCCACAGAUGAGUAAGUAUCAAAGAAGUCUUCACCUUCCUUUUGGGUAUAACCCUUAGCCACGAGCCGAGCCUUGUACUUUUCGAUAGUACCAUCAGGCCUAAGCUUCUUCUUGAAUACCCAUUUGCAUCCUAUAGGUUUGCACCCAUAAGGGCGAUCAGUUAUCUCCCAAGUUUCAUUCGCCAAGAUGGAAUCCAUCUCGCUACGAACUGCUUCCUUCCAGUAGUCAGCAUCUUCGGAUGCAUAGGCCUCCGAAAUAGAACUGGGAGUAUCAUCUAUGAGAUACGCAAGAAAAUCAUCACCAAAGGACUUUGUUGUCCUCUGUCUCUUGCUCCUAGUAGGAACUUCAUUGUUCUCCUCCACAGGACUUUCAAAGUGUUCCAUCGAAAUGGCAGGUUCGGUAAUUGUAACUGGUUCCUGAUUCGAUGAACUAGGCAUCUCCUGAUUAGAUGAGGUAGCCAUAUCCCUCAUGGGAAAGAUAUCUUCAAAGAAAGUCGCAUCAUUCGACUGCAUGAUCGUACCAACAUGCAUGUCAGAUACCUCAGAUUUUACUACCAAGAAUCUAUAGCCAAUGCUAUGAGAAGCAUAUCCCAGGAAAACACAAUCCACAGUCUUUGGUCCAAGCUUCCGCUUCUUUGGAAUUGGAACAUUGACUUUCGCCAAACAACCCCAUGUUCAUAGAUAAGAGAGUUUUAACCUUUUCUUCUCCCAUUCCUCGAAUGGAGUUAUCUCUUUGUUCUUUGUGGGAACUCGAUUUAGGACAUGACAUGCUGUCAAUAUCGCCUCCCCCACCAUGCCUUGGAGAGACCCGAUGUGUCUAACAUGGCGUUAACCAAAUCAGUUAGAGUACGGUUCUUCCUUUCGGCCACCCCAUUUGACUGAGGUGAGUAGGGAGGCGUCCUCUCAUGGAUUAUACCAUGUUCCGCACAAAAAGUAUCAAAUUCAUUGGAAAAAUACUCUCCACCACGGUCGGACCUAAGUCUCUUGAUUUUCCGAUCAAGUUGGUUUUCCACUUCAGCUUUGUAGAUCUUGAAAAAGUUCAAAGCCUCAUCCUUAGAUUUCAGAAGAUACACACUGCAGUAUCUAGUGGAGUCGUCAAUUAACAUCAUGAAAUAUUUCUUUCCACCUUUUGUCAAAACACCAUUCAUUUCACAUAGAUCUGAAUGUAUAAGUUCUAGUGGUGCAAGAUUUCUCAUCUCCGCAGUCAUGUGAGACUUACGAGGUUGCUUAGCUUGCACACACACUUGACACUUAGAUCCCUUGACAGUGGUGAAACUAGGGAUUAAGUUCAACUUCGCUAGUCGCGACAUGCAACCAAAGUUAACAUGACAAAGACGUGAAUGCCACACAUUUGAUUCAUUAUUGUUGCAAAUAUGAUUAACAACUUUAUUGCAAACGUCUGAUAAAGAUAAACGAAACAGGCCUCCUGACUCAUAGCCUUUACCAACAAAGGUUCCAUACUUGGAUAUUACAAAUUUAUUCGACUCAAAGACAAGCUUAUAGCCAUCUCUACACAGAAGAGAUCCGCUAACAAGAUUUUUAUUGACGGAGGGGACAUAAUGCACGUUCUUCAGCCGCACGAUCUUCCCCAAAGUAAAUUUCAGAUCGACCGUGCCAACACCACGAACAGAAGCACUUGAUGUUGGUGUUGUGUCGAAUAUAGUGUACAAGGUAGGUUACAGUUGGACUAUGAGUUGUAUUGUGUUUACAUAGGAUGUGGAGUCAUGUCCUAGUAUGACACUUGUAUCCUAGGCCUCUCAUAUAUAGCGGGGGUAGACACACGAUGUAACUUAUGCCAACGUAAUAGCACAGGCACGCAAGGGGGAGCCGGCGGCGUAUGACGGCGCCCGGGUGGCCGGUGUGCGGUAUUGUGACGGUGUCACGGGGAGGAGCGCCCGUAGUCAUGCCCCGGGGAUGUAGCCAUAUCGGUGAACCUCGUUAACAAAUCUCGGUGUCGUGCCUCGUGUGAUUGCUUGGUCCUCAGAUGAUCGACAUUAGGCCUCGGAUUUAUCAUGAGCAAGGUUCGAUUUGAGGCCGUGGUGUUGAUCUAGAGGAGGAGGAAAAUUCGGCUUUGAUCGGUUGUUCGCAGGAAAAAUGUCACCGAGGGAGUGCCAUAGGCGGAUGCGAAAUCGAUCUUUCAGCGGAUGAGUACAAGAAGCGAAUUAAGAAGCACGCGAUGGCAUGUUUCGGCUGAUCAGAACGGAAGUCAGCAGCGAGUGGUGUCGGCGAGAUCGAUUCGUAGAUUGACAGAGGUAGCGGCAGAAUCCUAGCGUCGGAAGUCUCGGCGAGAUUGGAUUCGAAGCGAUCGACUAGGCAUACUACAACCGGUGCUGGUAGGCUGGCCCAGGAGGGACUGGCUGAGCCAGGCCAUGCGUGGGCGGAGGCCCACGGGGUUCCAGCAGAGUCAUGGCUCGGUGGGCAGGUUGGACUGUGAGAGCACAUGCAUGGUAGCUAGUCCAUGGGUGACUACCGCAGGCGCAUGUGUGUGCUGGAGGCUGUGAAGCGUAUGUCUGUAUGCUGUAGAGAGCUACGAGAGAUUUGUUAAAAAAAGGAGCACGAGUGUCUAGGCUUCACAAAUGAGAUACGAGUUUGUGUUUCUGUACAUGGGCAGCCAGGAGAUGGAUUUCUUCAAGUCUUUGUUGCUAGAGGUACAUGGAGAUGCACACGCAAAUAGUGACGAGGAAAAAUAAUUGUGCAAAUAAUUCUUCGGGUCAGGUUUGCAUGGAAGUUUUUUCUGUCAAGUUUGCGAAAAGGGCUCGAAGAGUAUGUGAAGACGAGGACAGUGUGUCGUGUGGAUCAUGCAUACACAAGGCGUUCAAGCAAUGCACGGAGAUGUGCGAGACGGACACGACGCAGGGUGGAGCAUGGUUGCAGCUGGAUAAGUUCGGCUAGGUCGGACUAGAUAGUCUAACGGAUCGAUGCAAGUCGAUUGGUACAGAAGACGGUGUGGAAUCGGCGACGACGACAUAGGUGCGUGAUGCUAAUAGUGACCGACUUCUGGGGCUUGGAAACACGUGGCGCAGGCCCCGAGGGUUUGUGUGGCUUCGACAAGACUAUGGCGCGGGGUUGAUUCAAGGUGGUGUAUACACGGAGCUUGAAGUUGACGGGGCGCGUGGGUGGACUGAUCAUCUACCAUGAGUCAUGUUGAAGGUGGAGAUGGAGUCUGGAGGACUUCACUUGGUGCUGAUUGAGGGGCUACGACGUAAGUGCAAAGAGAGUCGAAGCCUAUUCAGCGGGAAAAGCGAGGGAGACGUAAUUCGGACUGGAGCCCAGUGGUAUGAUGGAAGCGUGAAAAUCGUCAUCGGUCGGUGAUGAUCGGUGGUACUCUGCAGUGGGGGUUGAGCGGUGUGGGUUUCGCGACCCUUGAGACUCGACCGGGAUAGCGGAGGCUCAACGCGGUAAUAGCAGCGAGGCAUGCGGUUAGCACGGCAUGGAGACGGACCAGGGCUCUGGUGGUCAUACAUGUGGUGGGGCAACUGCGAAUAUGACUCGGGAUGAUUACAAGCAAUGGUCAAAUUCCUUCAAGUUUCAGACAGGCGGUGAAGAAAGGAGCGGUGAUAUUGAGUUCAGGUAACUCUUAUGUGUGACACCCAAUAUGUGAGUUGUUCACUUUCACGCAGGUCAGUGAUCAGUGUGUGAUGGCAUUGGACGGAUACUCUGGAAGUUGGGAGCACAAACUAGAGUAACAAGGAACUUAAUUUUCGCUCGAGCAUUGACUGGGGUCAAGAAAAGAAGGGACUACAAGUUGCAGGUGGAGUCAUAUGGAGUCUUUGGAGUAGCAGGGGUGCUCAUGGGAUAAGCUCAAGUCCAAUGUACAUGGAAGUUUGACGCAUGGACAAAUCCAGGGUGGUGGAGUAUAUUUGCCAAGGUGGAGUUUGUUGGUGUUGUGUCGAAUAUAGUGUACAAGGUAGGUUAUAGUUGGACUAUGAGUUGUAUUGUGUUUACAUAGGAUGUGGAGUCGUGUCCUAGUAUGACACUUGUAUCCUAGGCCUCUCAUAUAUAGCGGGGGGUAGACACAUGAUGUAACCUAUGCCAACAUAAUAGCACAGGUGCGCAAGGGGGAGCCGUCGGCGUAUGCCGGCGCCCGGGUGGCCGGUGUGCGGUAUUGUGACGGUGUCACGGGGAGUAGCGCCCGUAGUCAUGCCCCGGGGAUGUAGCCAUAUCAAUGAACCUCGUUAACAAAUCUUGGUGUCGUGCCUCGUGUGAUUGCUUGGUCCUCGGAUGAUCGACAGUAGGCCUCGGAUUUAUUCUAACACUUGAACCGUUUCCCAUCAGCAUGGUUGAAGUCCCUGCAGUCUGAUAAGACGAAAACAUGGAAAUAUCACCGCAUACAUGCACAUUAGCACCCGUGUCAAUCAACCAAUCAGGAGAAUGACAUACUAAAAGAAUAGUGGGAAAUAUACCAUACCAAGCAUCCUUCAUGUCAAUGUCUCCGAUGACAACAUUAGCGGUCUUGCCGCCUUUCCCAGGAUGACGCUUGUCAUAGCUAUUAGGACAACUAGGAGCCCAAUGACCAGGAUCUCCACACACAUGACAAGAACCUUUCUUCUUGUCACUCUUCUUCUUGAAGUUCGUGUGUUGUACAACCUUGUUCUUCCCACCAAACUUUGCUUUACCAUCAAGCUUGCCCUUGUUCUUGAACUUGUGGGACUGGAAGUUUUUCUUCUGUACCAGAUUGGCACCAGAUCCUCCCUCAAUACCUCGAGCACGUGUGUCCUUUGCUCUCACCUUUUCUUCCACAUCAAGAGUACCAAUGAGAUCCGGGACGGAAUACUCCUGUCUCUUAUGCUUCAGUAAGGUAGCAAAGUUCCUCCACGAAGGAGGAAGCUUAGUGAUGAUACCCCCGGCAACAAACUUGUCCGGUAGGAUACAAUUGAAGUGCUCAAGUUCUCUAGCAAAUGACUGUAUUUCAUGAGCUUGCUCAACCACGGAGCGCUCUUCAGUCAUCCUGUAGUCAUAGAAUUGCUCCAUGAUGUACAGCUCAGUGCCAGCAUCCGAGACCCCAAACUUGGCCUCGAAUGCAUCCCACAUAUCUUUUCCAUUAUCAAUUGACGCAUAAGCAUCAACUAUGUUCUCACCAAGAACACUCAAGAGAGCAGCCUUAAACAAAGUAUCCAUUUUCUGAAAAGCUUGUGUCUGUUGGGCAUCUUGCUCUCCUUUAGGUUUGCCAAGAGUGGCGUCAUAGCAACUCAUGGUUUGAAACCAUAAGACUGCUCUCACGCGCCACCUCUUAUAGUGGAUACCCUCAAACAUAGGAGGUCUCAUGGAAGCACCAAAACCAUUCGAGGUAAAUUGCCUAUAAUAAGGUUUUUGGAUUGUUGGAAAUAUGAGCAAUUUACCAAAUAAUUUUAUUACCAGAAAUACUAGAUAAAGCAUGACUAGUAUAGCAGUCAUAAAACAAGCCAUGCGAUUUCAAAAAGAGAAGGUAAAUAAUAUCUGCAUAUAUGAGCUAGACCGAUCAUCUCUAGAGCAGACAGUAGAUCAAGAUGCAUAUAUAAAGUAGAGCCUAACAUGUGUAGGGCAAACACUAGAAGAAGCAACUGUUGCAGGACUUCUAACAGGAAAGAUAAGAACACAUACUGGACAGCAGCCGGAGCAGAGGCACUGGACUUGGGGUCGGUGUCCUCCAUGUCGUCGAGGAGGUUGUCGAUGUCGGGGAAGUAGUCGUCGGAGUCUGGGGCGUCCGUGACGAAGAAGUCAGUAGUCACGCAGAGCGCUCCCCAAAAACCUUAUCACCCUUCUCCCGUACAUGACUCAAAAGGUGCGGUUCCGGAGGCCUACUGCCCCGACCUACGGUGCACGCUGCAAGGCGGGAUGAGGAAGAACGUAACAGCAGCGCAGUGCUCAGGAACUUGUGGCGAGAGGAGGAAGAGAUUCUGGUGCGUCUCUCUGAGAGGAGUGACCUCCCUUUUAUAGGCGUAAGAGAAGGAGGCGAGAGGCUGCGCCGGGAGCUGAAGGGAACGCGGGAGACAAAAUGAACAGGCAGCAGCCGAAGAGGCGCGCUGUUCGGAUUCAGUGUCCACUACAGAAAAAAUGUUUCAGCUUUCGAGUGACCUUUCAUAUACACGUAGUGCGUGGCAAAAAUUUAGACAUCGGCUCGGCUCAUUCCUGCAACCCGCGGCGUGUCGUGUCGUGACGAGGCGGCGUGGCGAGGCGGGCGGCGGAGGAGGAGCGCGCGUGGAUGUCCCUCUUGUUCUCAUGCUCAUACAAGUGGGGAAAGAGCCUCCCUUAUAAGGAGGUCCAACUCCCACUCAACUAGCAAUGUGGGACUAAACAUUAGUAGUAUCCCUUGCCUUGCACAAAUGGGUUAAGUGGGCCUCUAGGAUUUAUUUAGGAAUUUCUGAAAUAGUUAUUGGGUUGUCCCAAAAUAGACUAAAUUCCAGCAAUGGCUACAUGGGAUGCGAAUUCAGGAGUUUGCCCCUGGAAUCUAUGAAAGGAUCUCGAAGCGAGCAAGGAGCACACACACAGUACAUGAAGCUAUUUCAAUGGGAUCCUGGACUCGGGACAUCAGCCCCGACAUGGCCUAUGAGGCUUUGGUGGACUAUUUGGAGAUUUGGCAGAGACUACAAGGGAUCCAACUCCAGGAGCACGUCCCCGACGCCAUCACUUGGGCCUGGGAAACGAACGACCAAUUUUCGAUUCGGUCUGCCUAUGCGGCACGGUUCGCUGGUAGGGAGGUGGCGCCGACGGUGGAUUUUUCCUGGCGAUCUCGGGCUCCUCUUCGGUGCCGCUUCUUCACCUGGCUAGCUAUGCGAAGCAGAUGUUGGACUUCAGACAGACUUGCCAGUCAGGGUCUCCCGCAUCUGGAUGCUUGCCCGUUCUGCGACCAGGAGGACGAGACCAUUGAUCACAUCUUGCUGAUAUGCGUGUUCGCUAGAACAGUUUGGAGAACUCUGUGCUCGGCCCUGGGGAAGCCGCAGUGGUCCCCAACGGCCCAAGACAACCUAAAGGAUUGGUGUGUUAAGCGAACGUCGAGUGUCCGCAAGCUGAAGGAGCUACGAGCGCUCCUCACCCUAGGGCUUUGGGAGUUGUGGAAGCAUAGGAAUGCAAUUGUGUUCGACUGGGAGUUGGGCACACGUCACGGAAGGUAAGGCUUGGAAGCAGGUGAGCUUAUUGAAGGGCGAAGUGGAUAGCAUGCUCGAUCUUUUGGUAGGGUGGGUAGGGAGUGAGUAGUCGCGACUGUCGCGUUUGUAGGUGGAGCGGUGGAUUGUACAUUAUGUGCGGGUGUUACUGUAGCAUUUAAAACUUUGUAACAUCUAUGGUGGUUCGGGAUCUUCCCCCACUCUUCUAUAAAAGAUGAUAUGCACACUCGUGCGUAUUCGAGAAAAAAUAAUCAUGUAUACUACUCCUGCUUCGUGUGAUCUACAGAUUUGCUUGCUGAGACUCAACUACUACAAUGCUUCAAUAUUUUUCUCUAUGAAAAACGCUUCAAUUGUUUAUCUAAAUGUUUUUUUAAACAGAGGCAAUUUUUUUUCCUCAUCCAUUAAUUAAGCAGAAAAGAGUUACCUAGUUAAUUAAUGAAAAACCGGGCGAAAACCGUCACAAACAGCUGAGCGGCACAUACAAAUAGCUCACACACACCUAUACAAAGAGUGCCUCAUCGAGCUAGCACACAAGCGUCAUCGUCAUCACUUUCCCCAAACAGGCGUCAUCACCAUCCCUAAUCUCCGAGCAAGCGACUCCGACUUUGCUAUGGACGAACGCCGACCCAACCCUCACUGCAGAGGUCGUGCAGAAAUACAUGAAGGCCCGUGCCAGAACUCAGCCACCCACGUUGAGGGCAACACAGCUCUGACUCUGAAGGAGAGAUCCGAAGGGGAACUAAGCAAGGAUGGUGUCAUGAAAGACCACCGAACGAACCACCUGUUGCAUGUCAUCGUUGCCAUAGGGGCACCGCCACUGUAGCUCCGACUUCAUCACAACAAACAAGCCAAGGUAAUCACAUGAACACGUUGGAGAAGAGCUGACUACCGCAACCACUGCAAUGCCUCCGACUUCACUUGCCCCAUCAUCGUUGCCACAUAAGCCUCAACACCAUACCAACGCCUUCCACCACCCAACCUCCCAACACACCCAUUGGUCCCUCUAACCGGAUUAAACUCCAAAAUCGAUGCCCUCAAGAGGGGAACAACGCCAAGGCGCCACCAACGACCGAUCCUCUAGGUCUGGGGUUUCCCCCAGAGGUGUCCCUCGCAGAGGAAGAGAGAGCAUCUCGCUGAUGCCUUCAAGAAGGCUACAGUGUCCACGGAUGCCGCCGUCACAGGCUCCGGCCAUGGACAAAACAGGUUUUCACCCAACCCUCUACAUCCUUUGGUCGACAAUCAAUCUAGCAGCCCACCUUCCCUCAUUGCAACUCCACACAACCACCGUCCUGGCAACCAAAUCCUGCAGUCUUCAAUCUGACAGCCACAUCGCAACAUCAGGAUGAGAUGCCUCAUCGUAGGAAGCUGCCAAGAGCUGCCACCCUACCGGACCUUGGUGUAGAGAGGCCGAGGGAGUCCGCACCUAGCUGCCGGCCCAUGAUGCGCGACGCCCUGUCGGUGAUCUAUGGGGCUAGGCAACCCCUUUGCUGGUUCGGCAAGGGGGAGCAAUCAACGCAAAGAGCAAGGGCAACAAGAGGCGCCAUAGUUUUACCCUGGUUCGGGCUGCUGAGAAGCGUAAAACCCUACUCAUGCUUCAAUGUAUUAGAUGGUGAUGAGCACAAAUACACGGAGCGCUCUCCCCCGGCAAGUGGCUAAGAGAGGGUAGCUGCAUGGAUACCUAUGCUUGAGGGUUGUCAAGGGUUCGAACCCCUGUAAAGGUUGCCUUGGUCAUCCUUUUAUAGCUCAAGGGGUUAUCACAGUGACAAAAAGUUCAUUAGAAGGUGACUAGACUGAUACAGAACUAUCAUAUCUAACUCUGCUAGUUAGUACAAAAGGCAUUAAAUGCACUGCUAGGUGUCGUGUGGAAGAGGAAUCCCGGCAAGGCUGUCGCACCGCUCACCCAACUGCCUCAUAUUAGCUUGACACACCAUUAGGAUGGGUGUCAAUAACGGUAAUAGCUCUCCCCAGCAAGCUCACACGUACGGGUUGCCUCCACAUAUCCACAUGCGGGCUCCACACCUCACUGGUCAGCGACCAGCUGGCCGGAGAGGCGGGGCGUUGGCGUUUGGCAGGAAGUCCGCAGUCGAGGGGCUUGCCGGGCCUUGUCUCGCCGGCUCAUUCCUGCCGGAGUUGGUUGCUUAUGUUGUAGAUCCUGUAGCUAGAUCCAAGACUUGGUCUUCUUAAUGCGCUCCUUGAUCUCACGAAGAGCGGCUUCUCUAGUCUGGUUUUGUAUAAAACUUGAUACUUGUCGGGGGAGUUGCAAUACAUUUGUGCAUAAGUCAGGGCAGCAAACGCCCAUGUUUGUUGCACCGACGGGAGCCCCCGGGCCUAGACCACACGUGUCGCCGGGCGUCGUUGGGCUAGGUCCAACAAUGCACAGACGCGCCCGCUGAACCUGCCGGGAAUCGAUGUUGUGUCUUGAAAUCUUCCUUGCUUCUUCAUUAAUCAUGGGUCUAGGUCAGCUCCCAGCUCCACUCCGGACUCUUGGUGCCUUGGCGGCACAAGCUGUGGGCAUCUAGAACUAGGGGGCGUCCAUGCUCAUGGGAUGCCAUUAGAGCGCCCGCACGUGGGUAGGGGUAACUGACAUUUCUGUCAUCACUCCCUCUACUGCAACUUUCCUCCUUUUCCCCACGACGUGCAGGACGUGGGAUUGGUGCAGAAGGGCGGCCAUGGUGGUAGUGCUCUGAUUAGAGGAGCCAGUACGCCGGAUUGGCGAAAUCGGUCGGUCGAUGGAGCAAGAUGCCAACCAGGAAUGCAGGGAGCUGGAUUGGUGGAGUGGGGUGGUUGCCCCAGGGUAGUGGAGAGCCAACCCACCGCGCUCCCAGGCUACUGUCGUAAAUUAUGACAAACCAAAGUGCCAAAGUGCUUGUUCUUAUUGUUCAAAAUACCAGCCAAUAAAUCAGUUAACUGGCUGAUUAAUCCCUGCUCAGUGGGUCACCGAGUAGCCGAUUAUUAACUCAUUUAUCAGCCAAUUAAAUGACUGAUUCGCCUAUGAAUCCCCUACUUGCUAGCUGACCGAGCAGCUACUAGUUAAUGAUUUUCUGAACAUUGGACUUCUUAUAUACUUCGAGCGCAAAAGUACUGUUUGUCUUGUUUGAAGUAGUGGGAUGGAUAUUUGCUAAGCUGAUUAUCCUUCAGACUUCAAGAAGGAGCUAAGGACACUCAAUAGAGAGCUUCAACUCCAUAUCUUGGAGCUAGCGGAUAUUUUAGUGGAGAGACCAUCUUAGUAUGCUCACAGGGUCGAAGACAUUUCACUCAUCUUCAAGAACUUACACCAUCUUCUUAAUUCCCCGCGGCCACACCAGGUAUGAACCCCAAUUUUUAUUUUAUGUGAAUAAUUUAUUUCUGCAAUUCAUUACCAUAACUCAUUUUAAAAUUUCUUUUAGGCAAGAGCAACAUUGGUUCACCUCCUUGAGAGCCAGAUACAACGUCGUAAGCAAGCAAUUGAGGAUAUAAAAUAGUGAGUAACUGAACUUUUUUCAGCUUGACUUGGCUCUAACUCAGCAUACCGAUGAUCUUCCAUUGGACAUGAUUUAUAGACAAGGAUAGAUAUCUAGCUCUGCAUCAGUACCUCUUACAUAAUACAGGUGUAUUAUCAUUACCUUUAUUAGAUUAACUGGUCCCUGGAAAUGUUGUACUGUACACUGAAGCAACCAUCACAUAUCUGUACACUUAUAAUGUGAAGGGGAACUGUAUUGUUCUAAUAAUCAUCAAUGUUUGUAAGGCGGUAAGGUGAGGCGCCGUACCACUGCCUCACCUUUGAAGCGCUUAAGACGUAAGGUGAGGUGAUGCCUUGUAGACAAAUAAAUAUCGGAAAUGUUAACGCCCACAUGUGUGGGCGUUUGCAUCUCGCCCACACACGUGGAUCCGCGUCCGUCCGUGAGCGCACGAAUCUUGGCAUGUUUCUAGUGCCACGUAGGACUGGCCUGGUGUGUGGGUGUUCACCCGGUCGCCCACACGGCCGUUUCACCACACAGAAGGGGCUAGUGUGUGGGCGUUCAGCAGUUCGCCCACACACCACUUUCCAUGCACGCACAAGGGCUAAUGUGUGGGCAUUUGCCAUCUCGCCCACACGCCCGUCUCCUCUCCCACACUCAAGCUACUAGUUGCCAUAUGUUUUGCAGCGCACAUGGCAACUGCCCUAGUGUACUUUAUAAGCAGGUGGCAACUCUCUUUUUACCCGAGUUGCCAUGUGUUUUGCAGGGUACACUACAACUGCCUAGUGUGCACGUAAGCAGAUGGCAACUCUCUCUUUACCGAGUUGCCAUGUGUUUUUGCAUGGUACAUGGCAACUGCCCUAACAUGCACGUAAGCAGAUGGCAACUCUUCCUUUUUACAUGGAAACUGCUCUAGCAUGCUUGUGAGCACAUGUCAACUCUCUCAACUGCCUAAUGUUAGUAUGUGGCAACAACUAAAAUUUUGAAAUCAUGGCAACUACAGUAGACCAGACCAUACAUGGCAACUGCAGUUGAGCAACCAUGACAACUGCAGUUGUCCGACAUGGCAACCGUACUUCAGCGAGAUGGCAACUGCAGUUAAACGAACAUGGAUGAGGGUCUGUACCAUGGCAAUUGCGGGCGCGCGAUGACUGUCACGCGUGGCGUGCGGGACCACAAGGUACGAGGCCUGACAUACGGGGCGUGUGGGCGUUAUCUACUUUGCCCACACGCACACGUGUGAGAGGGAUCGGGAGGGAAAAAAGAGGUGUGUAGGCAUUACUUGUUUUGCCCACACGUAGGUGUGUGGGUUGUUCCUCUUAUACACCACACAUUUAUGCCCAUAUGUAGGUGUCUGGGCUGUCCCUCUUAUACACCACCAAAUGUGUGGGCAAUCUCCCUAACAUCCACACGUGUGGCACUUAUCCGCGUCCAUAAAUAAAUAACAUAUGGCAGCCAAUUAGGAGAUUUAACAACUAGCAAUUGGAGUUUUAACAACUAACAUUAACAUACAUGCACCACAGGUUGCACAACAUGAUAACUUUUCCCGAAGCAUAGCUGAAUUAUUGGAUAGAUCAUAAGCAUUACUAGCCACAGGAUCCAUCGGAUCAGGGAUACCUGGCUACUGCAGCAACACUAAGAGAAGGCACAAUCAGCCAUCAAAGAAAAGAGAGAAAAGCCAAAUCACUAGAGCAACCAGAUCAAGCGUGGGGAAGGGGAGUAGCAGUGUUGGGGCUGCUGCCUUGUGGGUGAAGAAGCAGAUUUGGGAGGAAACAGAUGCGAAGAAGAAGGAGCAGGCAAACAGCCAAGAGCACAUCUAGGUACACUACCGGGAGAAAUAGUGCACUAGGAGGGGUGAGGGAGUCCUGGACUAGGGGGUGUCCGGAUGGCCGAACUAUCAUCAUCGGCCGGACUCCAAGACUAUGAAGAUACAAGAUUGAAGACUUCGUCCCGUGUCCGGAUGGGACUUUCCUUGGCGUGGAAGGCAAGCUUGGCGAUAUGAAUAUGUAGAUCUCCUACCAUUGUAACCGACUCUGUGUAACCCUAGCCCUCUCCGGUGUCUAUAUAAACCGGAUGGUUUUAGUCCGUAGGACAGAACAACAAUCAUACCAUAGGCUAGAUUCUAGGGUUUAGCCUCCUUGAUCUCGUGAUAGAUCUACUCUUGUAAUACCCACAUUAUCAAUAUUAAUCAAGCAGGACGUAGGGUUUUACCUCCAUCAAGAGGGCCCGAACCUGGGUAAAACAUCGUGUCCCUUGUCUCCUGUUACCAUCCGCCUAGACGCAUAGUUCGGGACCCCCUACCCGAUAUCCGCCGGUUUUGACACCGACAUUGGUGCUUUCAUUGAGAGUUCCUCUGUGUCGUCACCAAUAGGCUCGAUGGCUCCUUCGAUCAUCAACGACGCAGUCCAGGGUGAGACUUUUCUCCCCGGACAAAUCUUCGUAUUCGGCGGCUUUGCACUGCGGGCCAACUUGCUUGGCCAUCUGGAGCAGAUCGAAAGCUACGCCCCUGGCCGUCAGGUCAGAUCUGGAAGUCCGAACUUCACGGCUGACAUCCGCGGAGACUUGAUCUUCGAUGGAUUCGAGCCACAGCCGAGCGCGCCGCGCUGUCACGAUGGGUAUGCUUUAGCUCUGCCGCCGGACAGUGCCCUGGAGGCCGCACACGAGUCCGCUCCGACCCUCAAUGCGGAGCCGGCUGCGCAGAUCGAGGACGGGUGGCUAACACCGCCUCGAGGGCUGCAACCUCUAUGGCGAUGGAGCCGAAUACCGACCUUGUCCCUUGUGAAGCUCGUGACUCCGAGGUGCCGGACUCCUUGCCGGACUCCGAACCUCCCGCGCCCCCUCUAAUCGAAUCCGAUUGGGCGCCGACCAUGGAGUUCACCGCUACGGACAUCUUUCAACACUCACCUUUCAGCGACAUCCUGAAUUUGCUAAAGUAUCUCUCAUUAUCAGGAGAGCCCUGGCCGGACUGCGGUCAGGACGGUUGGGAUGCGGCGACGAAGAAAUUCAAUGCCCACCCACCACCCACUUAAUAGCCACUGUCGACGAUUUAACCGACAUGCUAGACUUCGACUCCGAAGACAUCGGCGGUAUGGACGACGAUGCCGGAGACGACCAAGAACCAGCGCCUACUGGGCACUGGAAAGCCACCUCAACUCAUGACGUAUACAUGGUGGAUACACCAAAAGGAAGUGAUAACGAGGAACAACGGGACGUGGCGAAGGAUAAUUCCCCCGAAAGACAACCAAAACAGCGACACAAGCGUCGCCCGAAGUCCCGCCUCGAUAACAACGACACCCAUACUAACCCAGCCGUAGAGCAGGGCGAACCAGUGGACGACGAACAUGCCACCAAGCAACCAGCCGAACAGGAUGAAUUGGACGAGCAACCCAUUCCUGGCGAAAACAAUAGUCCAGACGAUCUCACGCCGGACACAUCACCGGAGCAUAAGAACCUUCACAGAAGGCUCGUCGCCACUGCAAGAAGUUUGAAGAAGCAAAAGCGGAAGCUCAAAACGGCGGAAGACGUACUCAGAAUGAGAUGGAGCAAAGUACUCAAGACCACAGAUAAAUACGGCGAUAGUCACCAAGCAAAGAGCUACCCGAAGCGCAAGCUGUUGCCCGAAUUUGACGAGGAGGCCGUAGAGCCCCCACAGUCAAAAAAGAAAAAGGCCGCCUGGCCGGAUAGACGGCCAGAUAACAUGCUAAGAGCAGCAAGCGGCGCCGCACACAAUCUGGCACAUGAUCCACAUAAGGAUCCUCGCAAAAAGGAUGGCCCGGUCAGGUCCAUCUAUGGGCCAAAAAAGAAGGCUCCAGGAAGCAACACAAUCCGCCGAGUGUUCGAAGAUAACGGCACACCCAAAUACAGGGGCGCCGCACACCCACUAUGUUUCACCGAUGAGGUACUGGAUCAUGAAUUUCCAGUGGGAUUCAAGCCCGUAAACAUAGAGGCAUAUGACGGAACAACAGACCCCGGAGUCUGGAUUGAGGAUUAUAUCCUACACAUACAUAUGGCUAGAGGAGACAAUCUCCAUGCCAUAAAAUACCUACCCCUCAAGCUCAAAGGGCCAGCUCGGCAUUGGCUCAAAAGCCUCCCAGAAAAUACCAUCGGAAGUUGGGAAGAGCUUGAGGAUGCGUUUCGAGCAAAUUUUCACGGAACUUAUGUCCGCCCUCCGGAUGCAGACGAUUUAAGUCACAUAACUCAACAGCCCGGGGAGUCAUCACGCAAAUUCUGGAACAGGUUCCUCACCAAAAAGAACCAAAUAGUCAACUGUCCGGACGCCGAAGCCUUAGCAGCCUUUAAACAUAACGUCUGAGACGAAUGGCUCGCCAGACACCUCGGCCAGGAAAAACCAAGAACAAUGGCCGCGCUAACAAGCCUCAUGACCCACUUUUGCGUGGGGGAAGAUAGCUGGCUAGCAAGAUGCAGCACCAGCGACCCGAGUACAUCCGAGGUCAGGGAUGGAAAUGGGAAAUCACGACGCAGAAAAAAUCAGCGCCGGAAUAAGGAAAACGGCCCAAAUAGCACAGCGGUCAACACCGGGUUCAAAAGCUCUCGGCCAAAUAACAAAACACUGCCCCUUAAGGACAACAGUGACGAGCUAUCGAACCUAAACAAAAUCUUGGAUAGGAUAUGUCAAAUCCACAGUACCCCCGGGAGGCCUGCAAACCAUACACACAGAGAUUGUUGGGUCUUCAAGCAGUCCAGCCGACUUAACACCAAACACAAGGGGCUCGACACACCAAGCGAAGACGAUGACGAAUCCCACAAGCAGCAGGCCGGAAAACAGAAGACUUUCCCACUAGAAGUCAAAACAGUGAACUCACUUCAUGUGAUAAACAGUGCAGCAACUACUAAAACACGCGCCGCACGAUCCACCCAAGCGGAGCCCCGAAAUUGGAUGUCAAACCCAAUUACUUUUGACCAUCAGGAUUACUCCAGAAGCAUUCGAAACGCAAGAGGGACUACUUUGAUAUUGGAUCCCAUAAUCGACGGACUGUCAUUCACACAAGUCCUAAUGGAUGGCGGCAGCGAUAUAAACCUGCUAUACCAGGACACCAUCUGCAGAAUGGGGAUAGACCCUACCAAAAUCCGCCAUAGCAACACUUCCUUCAAAGGAGUGACGCCAGGCCUUUAUGCCAAUUGUACAGGCUCUGUACUACUAAAGGUUGUGUUCGGUUCAUCCGACAACUUCCGUCGCAAAAAGCUAAUCUUCCAUAUCGCCCCAUUCAAAAGUAGCCAUCAAGCACUACUGGGACGCGAAGCUUUCGCCCGCUUUAACGCGAUACCGCAUUACGCGUCUCUUACACUCAAAUGCCCGGUCCACGCGGCAUAAUCUCACUAAAGGGUAACUCCGAGUGUUCCUCGACCACGGAAAACGUGAGACUGCCUUGACAGCCACACACUAAUCCAACCUUGCUGAUCAAAGCCCCUAAAAACAGGUCAUUUAGACCUCGGACACGGUUAGGCGAGUCCGGCAUAAAUAAACAAGGGGCUUCCCAGCCGCAUACCUCUUUACAAAGGGGCUGCACGUAUAAACAAUGAGAGCCAAUAAAGCUCAAUUUUAUUCAUCUUCCAAAUCAUACUCUGUUUUAAAUACAUUUUUUGCAUGAUAUUUUUUCCAAACUAAGUUCUUCUUUUUUAUAGAUGAACCACGUGCUACACCCGUCCAGGAUACAGCACAACAGAGACACAGGCGCAGACGUGCAGCAGGGACCCGUUGCAAGGAUUCUUUUCAGAUUAAGACCCUGCGUAAACCUUUCUUACUGUCUCUUGUUGAUACUCAUCCCCCGAUUUCCUACCAUAACCGAGGAGGCUGGAAUUUUGGCAUCGGCCACGUCAGAAGUUCUCGCCUGUACCUGGACACUAGGGGCUUAGGGCAUUGUUCCACCCAUUAUCUUAAAGUCCGAAUACCUUAGGGAGUGUUUGGCGUCUCGAGUUAGGCCUUAUAUGCAUCAGCUCCGAAUCAUGUCUUUGGUCAAAUGUUGGGUUUGCCCGGCUCCUGUGUUUUGCUGCCUUACGUUCCGCUCCAUCGGCUAACGCGGCACUAGGAGAACUACUGCGAUUGUGCCCCGGUUCGGCCGGGCGAGCACCUCAGUAGAGAAAGCCGAAAACUGACUGUCAUGAUAUAGCGAGAGACUGGUCAACCACUCGAUAGACUACUGGAAUGUUUAGAAUUCCUCCGCUUUGACGAAGGACCGCCUCCCGGUCAGGCACACAUGCGCCCCGAGUUCGGAGAGCACGGUGCCUCUAGGGGCUAUAUAGUAGCCCCACCAUCGAGCUCCUAUGGCUAAGUGAAAGUGAUAAAGCAUUAUAGUCCGGUUGCCUAGUUUGCUAUGCUAUCACCUCCUUCAAAGGACCAAGACGUUGGAUUAAGUGUGAAAAGGCGCUUUUUUUGCAAACACCCCCGCACCAUGUGCGUGGGGGCUGAAGCCAAAGACUACCAUCUUUCAGGUUAUAAAUACAUAUACAUUAAUGGCCGCACAGGAGAUAUUUCAAUACUUGAACGCACAAGUAUAAAAAGUCGUUACAUUAUAAAUAUGAUCUCACAAAUCAUACAUGUCAUUUGAACAUGACAUUUUUCGAGCACUACGACUCUAUUAAACGAGCGCCCUGCAGGACUUCCUCAAAAUAGUGCUCGGUGGGUAAUCGGCUCUCGUCCGAACCCCGGGACGCAACAUCGAUGGCAUUCAUCUCCGCCCAGUAUGUCUUAACACGGGCAAGAGCCAUCCGUGCACCCUCUAUGCAUGCCGACCGCUUCAUCGCCUUGAUAUGCGGCACCGCCCUAAGGAAUUGCUGCAAUAAGCCAAAAUAACUCUUCGGCUUGGGCCUUUCCGGCCAUAGAUGAGCCACCACAUCCGUCAUGGCAAGUUCGGACAAUCAAUUCAGCUCAGCCCACUCAGCCAACCGAUCGGUCAACGGAAGUGGACGCUCCGGACUAUGGAAUUGAGACCAAAAAAGCUCUUCCAUCUCAUGAUCCUUCUGACUUCAGAAGUGCACAACUGCGUCCGCUGCACUCGCCGCCAAAUCCAGAUAAGGAUCCUCCGCACUCCACAACUGGCCCAAUUGAGCAUACUUUGGAUCCGUGAUCUUCCUACGCAACAGAAAGGGCUUUCCAGCCGCAAUGUCUCUGGCCUGACGCAGUUCCUCCUUUAUAGCCCGCAUUGCAGAACGGGCAUCCUUGGCUUCGGUGGUGGCCUUCUUCAGGCCCUCCUGCUCCGCUUGGCGUUCUCUUUCAAGAACCUCAUAGCGGUUGGUAGCAUCUUUUAAUUUCACGGCCAUUACGACCAUUUCCUCCCUGCUUCGGCAGUGAGCAGCCUUUUUGGCUUUUAGCUCCUCCGCUGCCUUCGAGGCAGCCGCUUCACUUUUUCUGGCUUGCUCCUUGGCUCGAGCAAGCUCUGCCCGAAGGUCUUCUACAGCAGCAGCACCAUCUGCAUCAAGCAUACAUGUUGUAAGGAGUGGGCAUCAACUCCCUUACCAGGUGACCGCGGAGAAACCACCUACCUUGUGACUCGUCAAGUCGUUUAUUGACCAGCGCGAUGUCCGCAUGCGCAACAUCGAGUUGCCGCUUCAGCUCGGCAACUCUAUCAGUCCGGCUGGCCACCGAACGUUCCGCCACCUGCAUAGGAAAGGCGCCAUUUUUUAACUGAGAUUAUGAUCCUCGGCACGCUGUCGCUUUCGACAACAUACCGAGUCUCAGGGGCUACUAUCUAUAUAGGGCGCACUCUAUGUGCAAAACUGUCAAAAGGUAUGUCAUUUUUUGCGUACCUCAAAUCCCGUCAGUAAACUUCCGACGGCCUCAUGCAACCCGCUCUUGGCGGAUGAGAUCCUUUCAAUCACCGUACUCAUUAAUGCGCAGUGAUCUUCUGAGAGAGACGCCCUCUCGAGCAAACCCUGCAGCUCCACCGGCCGUACUCCAGUAGGUGCCGAACUCCCCGGCCCCGCCAGACCCAGGGAGACCCUCCGUGACGACACCUCAGGGUCGUCCGCCCCGCCUGACGGGGCGGCAAAUGGAGGCGUUUCGCUCUCCAUCAUCUCCGGACGAAGGUCCCCCGAGGAUGAGCUCUGCUGAGAAGGGCUGAGAUCCGAACUACAAGGUAAAAACUUCGGUUAUCCUUAGAAAUAAAAUAGGAAUGUCACUUAUUACAAAACUUCCCUUUUUGUACUUACGGCUCGCUGGAGGGCUGAUUCCUUUGGGGAGACUGUGCGGCCGGGACUCCUCCCGGCCCAGGACCUUCCGGUGCAGAUUUCUUUCCCCGCUUCGAGGCUUUGGCCUCCGGGUUUUCGGAAGCGGUCCUCUUCUCCCCCUGGAGGGAGGGAUUCUUGAUUCCCCCCUUAUUGAGAGCCUCCUUAACAGAGGUGGUAGUUUCCCUGUUCCCCCCUUCGCCCUCCUCCGAAGGCGCUACCUCCAACAUUUUGAUUAACACGUGAUCUGGCGUGGUCUCAAGGAGGGGGGCCGGACACCGUAUCAGUUUUGCUUGUGCUAUCCACUCCUGUUCAAGGGAUAGCCGGUUAAAAGGAAAAUCCAUGAUAAAUAAAUGGAUGAUAUGUCCGGACACAGGUCUACUUACUUGAGUAUCCGAGCGAUUGCCGCUUAGGCCAGCGUCCUCGGUCAAGUCCGGACACAUUUCUUGUGAUCCGACGAACAGUUUGUACAUCUCCACGGGUUUUGUACCCAUGAAGUGUUGGAGAGCUCGUGGUCCCUCCGGAUUGAAUUCCCACAGGCGGAGGGGGCGACGUUUGCAGGGCAGAAGACGCCGAAUCAGCAUAACCUGCAUCACUACGACCAGAUUGAUCUCCCUCUUUUGGAGGUCUCGAAUCUGGCCCUGCAAUAGGGGUACGUCCUUGCACGGCCCCCAGUCAAACCCUUUGUUGACCCACGACGUCAGCCGUUGUGGAGGGCCCGAGCGAAAGGCGGGCGGCAGCCUCUGCCUGCUGCCCCUGGGAGCGGUGAUAUAGAACCACUCCUGUUGCCACAAGCCGAGCUCCUCCUGAAAGGAGCCCUCGGGCCAUGGAGCAUCGGCCCUCUUUCUUAUAACCGCCCCGCCACACUCUGCCUGAUGCCCCUCAAUCAUCUUCGGCUCCACAUUGAAGGUUUUGAGCCAUAAACCGAAGUGAGGGGUAGUGCGGAGGAAGGCUUCGCAGACGACAAUAAAUGAUGAGAUGUGGAGGAUAGACUCCAGAGCCAAGUCGUGGAAUUCCAGCCCAUAGUAAAAUAGUAUCCCCCUCACGAAGGGAUCCAUCGGGAAGCCUAAACCCCGACGGAGGUGAGACACGAACAUGACACUCUCACCAGGCUCAGGAGUAGGAAUGACUUGCCCUUGGGCAGACAACCUAUGCGAAAUCUCGUAGGUUAAGUACUUGGCGUCUCUCAGCUUUAGCACGUCCUCUUCUGUGACGGAGGAGGGCAUCCACCGACCGUGUAGGUCGGAGCUGGACAUUAUCGAAGGUCCGAAGUGCCCGAAUCUGGAGCCCUGGGUGUUGGGACUCGGGGUGAGGGGCGGAUUCGAUUGAGGAUUGAAGAAAAGGAACGGGCCUUGGUCUCAUUAUAAAGAGGGAGAAUACCAAGAGCCGUCCCCGUGACCGUUUGGAACUCGCCUUCGAUGGAGGGGGCAUGGUAACGGGCGUGGUUGGGUUACCCACGUCCGUAUUGAUGAGAAUCCUGGGAUAAGGGGAACACGAUCUCUGCUUCGACAAGACGUGCCAAGGAAACCGCUUCGCUAAACGCGCUGAGGUGGUAUAAUAAAAACGAUUCAAGUAAAGGCUUGGUUGUGGUGUGACGUCACGCCACGGAAUACGUCAGCAGAUUGAACUUGUGUAAAUGUUAUUCUCUCUAUGGUGGAAUGUGGAAUUUAUUUUGCAGAGCCGGACACUAUCCUGGUGUUCACAAUCUUCUAUACAUUAUUUGGAGAAGGAACCCGCCUUGCAAUGCCGAAGACAAUAUGCGCGCCGGACUCGUCGUCAUUGAAGCGUAGUUCAGGGGCUACUGAGGGAGUCCUGGACUAGGGGGUGUCCGGAUAGCCGAACUAUCAUCAUCGGCCGGACUCCAAGACUAUGAAGAUACAAGAUUGAAGACUUCGUCCCGUGUCCGGAUGGGACUUUCCUUGGCGUGGAAGGCAAGCUCGGCGAUACGAAUAUGUAGAUCUCCUACCAUUGUAACUGACUCUAUGUAACCCUAGCCCUCUCCGGUGUCUAUAUAAACCGGAUGGUUUUAGUCCGUAGGACAGAACAACAAUCAUACCAUAGGCUAGCUUCUAGGGUUUAGCCUCCUUGAUCUCGUGGUAGAUCUACUCUUGUAAUACCCACAUUAUCAAUAUUAAUCAAGCAGGACGUAGGGUUUUACCUCCAUCAAGAGGGCCCGAACUUGGGUAAAACAUCGUGUCCCUUAUCUCCUGUUACCAUCCGCCUAGACGCAUAGUUCGGGACCCCCUACCCGAGAUCCGCCGGUUUUGACACCGACAAGGGGGAUGGAAGAAAGAGCAGAUGAGGNNNNNNNNNNNNNNNNNNNNNNNNNNNNNNNNNNNNNNNNNNNNNNNNNNNNNNNNNNNNNNNNNNNNNNNNNNNNNNNNNNNNNNNNNNNNNNNNNNNNNNNNNNNNNNNNNNNNNNNNNNNNNNNNNNNNNNNNNNNNNNNNNNNNNNNNNNNNNNNNNNNNNNNNNNNNNNNNNNNNNNNNNNNNNNNNNNNNNNNNNNNNNNNNNNNNNNNNNNNNNNNNNNNNNNNNNNNNNNNNNNNNNNNNNNNNNNNNNNNNNNNNNNNNNNNNNNNNNNNNNNNNNNNNNNNNNGAGGAGGAGGGGCAUAGACAGGAGCUGCCGCCAAAGGUCCAGAGAGGAGAGGAGGGAUCCUUCUCGCGUGGAUUGGACGAUUGGUUCGAUCCUCCCUCUCUCCCCCUCCUCCUUGUGACUGCAGUGUGAAGGCCUCUCGUAUCCUGGGUUUCCUGGUGCCAAGUUGGCUGGAUUAAGAUGAAUUAUCUUCAUUUUAGGUGGUGAAUGCAUUUCACGGUUUGCUCGUAGAAAUAUCCUAGUGACAUUUAUGAGAAAUUUCUGUAGUUUUUGACGAUGAAUUAUUUAUCUGUGUGUGCUAUGAAGCUUUUAAGUACCGAACCUGGUCAGCUCGAUGUUGGAUACUUCCG
rnacentral:lncRNA from 1 species